UAUUUGAUUCGUGUCCCCACUCAUUGCACCUAUAACACUUGAUAUUGGUAUUUCUCUGAUCUGAACCCUUGUUAAUUCUCACAUCUUACAGACUCUCAACAUUAAGUCUUCUGUCCUCAGGUGUAGGUAGCAAGGUUUAAAAACCGGUUAACCGGUAACCAGUUCUGGCUUACCGGUUUUCCGGUUAGACCGGUUAACCACCGGUUAACCAGUGGUUAACCGGUAGGGGUAUUUUCGUAAUUUUUUAAAAAAAACAGAAAUUAUGUUAUAUACUUAUAUAUCUAUUCCAUGUUUAUAUCCAUGUUUAUAUCCCUGUUUAUAUAAAUAAAAAUAUCAUAAACAAUAUAGUAAUUCAAAAUAGUCAUUCAAAAUAGUAAUGCAAAUAAGUAAUUAAUUCCAUAAUGUAAUUCAAAAUAUCCUAAGCCUAAGAUAUCUAGAUAUCUAGAUAUCAUCAUUUUCUACGUUUUGAGCCCUCCUUGUGUAGGCUCCAAGUCUUUCAUGUAUUCCCAUAGCCUCCUCUACUGUAGCCCAAGUGAGUCCAUCAUCUGUGUACACAAACUCAUUUGAUGAUCCUUCAAUUCCAGUCAUCCAUUUACUAGAGAAGUUCAAUUCUUCAAGGCAUAUGAGAUCAUAUUUGAUUGCACCUUCCUCUUCAAGUAGUUUAGCCCUUUCACUUCUUUCAUAGAGUUUUGCGUUGUAAUUUACGAACACUAGAUCAUUGAGUCGAUUCGCCUCAAGCCUAUUUCUUUUUUUUGUAUGAAUCUACAAAAAAAUGAAAUGGAGAAAAUUAUAAAUGAAUGUACUCCAUUCAAUCAUUUCAUGACUCACACAAUUGACUAUUUAAGUGACUCACAAAUUCGAAUGUACUCCAAUUAUGCUCGCAGCUAGAGGCAGAGGCACACAAUCCAAGUAUUCUCAUAGCUAUAGUUUUCAACUCGGGUGUAGAAACCCCAAUGGUAUCCCACCAUAUUACUAAAAAAAAUUCAGACCUUGAAUGUCAUUAAAAAUUCAGAAUUUGAAUUCAUACUCUAAAAUUCAUAAGAAUUUCAGAAUUCUUACCUGGAUCUAUAAACGUCGAAGAUUUGAUAGCCAAGGCAUUUCCAAACCUUCCAUGUUUAUUUUUGUAGAGGGCUGAAUCAAACACAAUUUUAGUUCGAAGAUCCACAUCCUCAAUCAUUCUUUCCAUACAAUCCUCAAAAGCUUCUUAACAAGCAUUGGCAUCCGGAUCAAGCGAGCUAAAAAAAAUUUAGAAUUUUAGAGUGAUGAAAUUAAAGUAAUGUUAUUUAAUUUCAUUAGUACCUUCUUAGCUCAUAAAAUGAUUUUGGAUUCAGAAAUGCACCCGUUUUAAAAAGAGGACUUUGAAAAUGUUUAUCCCAUCUUCUUUCCAUGAUCUCCCAGAUUGGCUUGUAGUCUUUUUCCACAUUGUUGAAAUUGUUCUUAACACCUUCCUUUGCCAUUUUGAAACCCAUGUACACAUAACCCAUGACAGGUUUUCUUUCUGCAUCUACCAACCUUAGCAAUUCCACAAGUUGUUUUGUAGCUCGACAGAAAUCCUCAAGUGCCUCCCAAAAUAAAGAGUUGAUCAUCAAUCUUUGGACAGCAGUGUUGUUACCUUUGUUCUUGUACUUCUCCCAAUUGAAGUGUUUCAAAACAUCCUUUUGUUCUUUCAAACUUUCCAAUGUUAGGUAUGCAGAUGCAAAUCUAGUAACGCCACAACGAAUAAGUUCUUUGUUCUUUGAAGCCACUAGGAAAUCACUAUGAAGGUUCGUGUGGUUGUAGAUGUAGGUAGUGAUUUUCCUUGCAUUUUUGACAACUUUGGCAUAUUUUGGGAUUUUACCGACAUCCUCAAUUGUCAAAUCCAACACAUGUGCUACGCAAGGAGUCCAAUACAAAUGUUUGUACUUAUCCAUUAGCAUCUUUCCAGCCAAGACAUAGUUGCUUGCGUUGUCGGUACAAAUUUGAACCACAUUCUUCACUCCAACCUUUUGCAUUGCAUCGUCAAGAGUUUUGGCAACGUAAUCGGCAGUUUUUGUUUCAGAUGAUGCAUCGAUUGAAUGCAUAUAGAAGGUCCCCGCACAAUUGAAUUCACUAAGAAGUUGAUAAUACUUCUGUUGCGUCCAUCAGUCCAACCAUCUGAUAUCAGUGUACAACCCCCACGUUUCCAAGCCUCCUCAUGUUUUUUCUGAAUUUCUUUGGUUUUUGUAACUUGUCUCUUGAGAAGGGGUACUCUCAAUUGAUACAUUGAAGGUGGCUUAUAGUUUCUGUCAUAUCUACCAACGGCCUCAAGCAUGACCUAUGACAUUUAUUUAAGAACUGAUUACGUAAAAAUCAGACUUAAUAAAUCAUGUUAAAAAUUGAGAAAACUAAUUUCAUACCUCAAAAAGUGGAUUACGAACCACAUUGAAAAGAAUUCCACUAGAAUAAAAAAAUUCAGCCACUAUGUCAUCCACAAUAAUCUUGGCUUCCUUUUUCAUAUGAUCUUCAAUUGAUGAUUGUUUCGACUUGGAAGUAUUCCUCUUUCGAACAACGUCGUGGACUGUUUCGUUGUCUUCCAAACCCAAAGCAUUCAUCUUCUUUAAUAAUCCAGAUGUUGAUGGCUUGUUUGAUCCUAGCACACUUGAUUUUGAAGUCGAAAUUGUUUUAUGCGAUUUCUUUGAUUUCUUCUGCAAUUUGAUGAUAUCGAUGAUGGGAGCCUUGUCUUUCCUCUUCUUUUUCCCCAUAUAUUCCAGCAAUUCAUUUGCAAUCGCAAUGGUUGUAUAAUGACAUUUUUGAACAUUAUUUGUACCGUGAGUAUCUCCGGUAAGAUGUUCCUUCAAGCGUCCUAUUCCACCACUGUUGGUUUUUCCACAUAAAAGACAUUGUACUUGAUAGGACUUCGAGAAGUCGUUGAUUACUCCAUAUUUCCAUGCCAAAUCUGUAGAUUUAGUAGGUCUUUUCAAUUUAUCCGAAAUUACCUCCAACGGUAUGGAUUUGUGGUACACAACAUUAGGAUCUGGUUGAAAACGAAUUUGGGCAGCAACAGUGGCUGCAACAUCAGGAAUAGGGUCAGGCCUUUCAGCUGUAGUGGCUGCAACAUUUUCAGCAGUAGUUGCUGGAAAUUCUGGAAUAGACUCAGCUGUAGUGGCUGCAACAUUUUCAGCAGUAGUUGAUGGAAUAAAAUUGACUUCUUCGCUGUCCAGCAACUCUAAUUCAUCUUCUAAUUCAUCCAAAUCGAUACGCACAUCAUUUCCAGCUUCAUUUUCACUAGAAUGACUGGAUUCUUCACUUAAACAAAGUACAUAAUCGCUGGAUUCUUGGGAAGACAUGAUCGAUGGAGUAGGAUAAUAUUUCAGAUCGUAGGAAGUGAAGAAAAUGUCAGACAAAUGUGGAGGAAAAGAAGAAGAAAAAAUUCUGAUGGUGGAGAAUCAAAGAAAUGUGAAGGAGAAGAAGAAGGAAAAAAAUUCUAAUGGUGGAGAGUGGAGGAGAUGUGGAGGAGAAGAACUGAAAAAGAAUUAUAAGGACAAAGGAGGCAACGGCUAGGGUUUCAAAGAAUAAGAUUUAAACUUAUAAGGAGUAAGAUUUAAACUUAUUAAAAUAAAGCCUUGAAAUGAGGCUUUAUUAAAUGAAAUAUAAUGGGCUUUAUUAAAUAAAGCCCAUAAGUGAAACAUUUAAAAACGAGACGGGUAACCGGGUCGGGUACGGGUCAGACCCGACCCAUCGACCCAUUUACCCGUCCCAAGUAACCGGUCACCGGUUAGCCGGUUAACCGCCGGUUUUUAAACCUUGGUAGGUAGUAGUCCUUUCUCAACUGGUGAGUUGACCUUCCUGUUAGAUGGCCCUCCUACAAAUUUGGUAAACCUCUCAGUCCUUCUGUCUAAAUGAUCAGACACUUUGAUGGUAUCCAUUAAUGAAAACUGAGGUUGCAUUAUCAGUUUCUCUUGGAAUUUGCCCUUUAAUCCUUGGACAAACCUUACUAUCAACUGCUCUUUUGUCUCAUUUAGAUUGUUUCUAUAAGACAGUUUAUGAAAUUCUUUGGCAAAGUCACCAACGCUCCUAUUUCCUUGACAACACUGAUGAUACUGAGUGAACAAAAUGCCUUCAUAGUCACUUGGUAAAAACCUCUGUUUAAGAAGUUUUUUUAAUUUUUGCCAAGUCUAAACUGACCUCUGAUUUGCUCUUCUUCUGUUGGUAACUGUCUAGUCCCACCAAGCAGAGCUAACCCUUUGAAUCUUAAGACAACCAACUUGACUCGUUUGAUAAUGGGCAACCCAUUUGAUGUGAGUUAAGAAUUCCUUAAGAGGAAUGUGAAUUGGCUUGACUAAAGUCAAGCCAAUCAUAGCCCAAUCGAGAAUCCUUUACUUCAUUCAUCACAAAGUUAUAAUGCUCUGAGGAUGCAGUGAUAAUAGGGUUUUCUACUGCAUCAAAACCUUAACCCUAAGCUUUGGACAUCAAUAGUACACCGGACCACUGGCUACUACUUGUGAUAUGCACAUCAACUCGUAGUCACAGUGCACCUCGCAUGGAGACUCCAAGAUGGAAGAAGUUUGCCGCAUUGGGGUGUGGAACUUGAUCGGACAAGACAGAGCUGGAGAGACAAUGAAGGAUUCGUAGGGUUCCCCCAAUUAACCCUUGACCCCCCCUUAAAUGAGUCCCCUUAUCCUUAUAAAUUAGUCCCCCCAAUUAACCCUUAACCCCCCAACUGAAGUUGACUUAGGAAAAAAUUAAAGAAAGGAUAGGAUAUUUCAGGCAAUCCACAUUUAGAAGGUUUAAACUGAAACAAAUACUCAAAAAUUGGGCUGAAAUUUCAACCCAUGCAAAAUUGAGCCACUUUGAACAAAACAUCAGCUGACAAGGGCUAAAAUAUAUUUAUCCCUAAAAGUUAUCUGCAAAAGCAAUGCAAAGUGAAAAAUGGUGGGUUUUUUUAUACUAAAAUUUGUCUUACAAAAAAUCUAAAACCAUCAGAUUUACAUACAAUUUUUUAUAUAAAUCAUCGAUCAAAAAACACAAUCUCACAAUCCUUUCAUUUACAAAGUAGAUGCUUAAUUGUCUCAUUUGGCAACAAACAUGAACUACUGUCCACUACACUGAAUGCAAAGUUUAAAGCUGCAAGCUGUAAUAAUCUAUAUUUGACUUGAUAACAGGAAUUUUUUUUGAAGGGGAUAUCAUUCCAGAUCAGUAGAUGAUUUUUGAUCCAUUUUUCUUCUAGAUACCUCCCACAAUUGUUGCUCAAUCCCAAGCUUCCUCAGCUCUAUUAAACCACGCUCCACUGAGAUGUAACAGAUGACACAAUCCAGUUACAUUUUUAAAAUAAAUUGUAGUUUGUAGCUAUGAAUUUCAUUUAUGAUGAUGUUAUUGAAAGGACUAUCUAUUCUACAACAUACAAACAGUUACUGAUGAUGCAAGAGAGGUUGUCAAAAAAAUCUCUAGAGACUCAGACGAUGAGAUAAUCUAUCAUAUAUCAAGUUCUACUGACAUUUUCAGGAUACAUCUACCGUUGAUUUUCAUUUAAGGCAUUGGAUACAAUUUGAAGAAAUAAUUAACAAUAUUUACCUAAUUAAAUUCAUGUCCAAAGUAGAAUAUAAGAUUAUUGCAUCCCUGAAUCUCUGAUGUUUAUUUCAAGUUUUGGUGUUUAGAACUCAAAGAAAUGGAUUGACAUAUAAAGCGACAUUUUGAACCCCAAAAAUAAAUAAAAAUACUUUUCAAAACAAGCAUCGGAAGCAAAGACUAAAUAUCAGAAUUUACCAUCAACAGCAUCAUGUGCAGUUGGUGUCUGACCACUACGACUAAUCCAAAAUUGUAAUCGCUCAUCAGCAAUGUCUUCUUCGACCCCUUUAGUUUUUGCUUUUUCCCAAAAAUAUGUAAGCCACGCCUGGAAAAUAAUAUUAUAAAACUUUAGUGAAUAUUUAAGAAAAGCCAUGAAGAAGCAUUGGUCAAAGGUCAUACAGUUAGGCAUACAAUAAAGAAAGGAUAAAACACAAAUCAAAAUUGCAGUUUUAAAAAUAACAAAAGUCGUAAAUUAACUUAUUUUAUAAGCUUUUUCCUAGGAGCAAAUCCAGUAAUUGAGACAUUGUGAGAGAAACUAGAGAGUAUUCGCACUUCAUCAAAAAAUGUUAAUUAGUGGUAGGGAAUAUGGCUUUGAGUUUCAUCAGAAAAAUUACCUCGUAAUCAGUUAUCUGUACUUACGAUAGUUCAUCCUAUCAAAUUUUAAUCUAGUUUAUCCAUCAAAAACUUGAUAUUCUAAUAAAAAACACAGCACUGUAAAAAUAAAGAAUUGACCUGCCACCCAGGCAUAAAUUAUAAAUAACAAAAUCCAUCACUCUACUUGUUAACCUUCAAGUGAAAAUAACAUAAUAUCAACAUAGAGACAUACAGUUGGUAUACCACUUCGCCUAUUCAAACAAUAAUCAAUUGUCAAUCCACUUCAUGCAAAAAGUGAAUAAGGAUUUAUAAAUUAUAAAAAAGGAAGUAAACAGUGAGAGCCGUUCAGAAAAUCUCAAUUUUAUUAGCUGGAGAAACAAGAAAAUAAUCGUAAGAAAAACCAACCUGUUUGAAAGAAACAUCCUCUAGUUCCUCAAGACUUAGCUCUACAAGUAAUUCAGAUUAAGUUAGAAUUCUUACAAAUUCUGGAGAGGGAAAUAUAUUAAGUUAUAUGGUUUUCAAAGUUACCAGAAAAAAAAAACUAAAGAGAAAUGAUAGAACUACAAGCAAACAGCUAUAGCAUAUAAUUUAUUCCACCGAAAAUACACUUUUCUUUUCAAAAAAUAUGUUUACCUAAUGCUUCCAUAAAAUUUAGGUUUCCGGGUUCCUUGGGAUCUAAAUAAAAAGGAUAGAAGAUAUAGUUUAGACUUUAAAGUAUAGGAUAAUGAAUCUGUAUACUGAAUUUGAAAUUUAGAAAAAAAUAAUGUCAAGAAUAAGUCAUCAAUAGAAUGACCUGAGACAGAUUGUUGUGUUAAUUUAUGUUGACGACGAUGAGCCAUUAUUAGUACAACAGCAUCCUCCACCUAAUUUACAGAAACCCCAAAUGAAUGCGAAAAUGAACAUUCAAAGAUAUUCGAAACCAAUUAGUUCAGUGAUCAAAGUCCUCUUUUGUGAUACAAGAGAGGGUUUAAAAUCCAAGGAUUUCGAAAAAUUAGACCAAGAAGAACAGUAAAACAAAUACAGAAAUAACAUGCAAGACCCGAACAAGAGUCCUCAGAUAAAGAUUGCUAUAAUCAUAAGGCGGAAAAAACACUGAAAGGAGUUGGAAUAGAUUGAAUUGUAGUAUAAGCAACCUUUAAAGAAGCUAACUCUCUUAAACCUUGCUCGACAGAAAGCAUGCUCUCGAUAUUGCCUUCUCCAGUUACGUCACCCAAGUCAUCGACGACUUUAUUCCUCUCAAUAUUGUCAUCACCUGUUUACACUCCAAACAAAAUUAUAGAAUGAAAAUGUACACCAAGAAUGUAUUAAAUAUUAUCAUCUACUUUACUGUAUUAAUAAUGCUUUAUCAUCUACUUAACUUUAUCAAUUAUGUUUUGUACACGUGACAUCAUGACAAAAUCCAAAGGUAUCAUAAAUUAUAUUUAAAUGAGGUAAAAGAUAAGAAAAUCAUGGUAUGGACAGAUUGUUAAGUUGCCUAACCUCCAUGUCGAGACCCUUCCUUCGCUUUUUGUCCAGCAGAAAGGACGACCUCAAGGGGUAAGGGGGCUAAGGAAGACCAAUACUCAUGCUUUGAUACAGCAAUAUCAGGAUACACACCUAAACUUUUCAAAGAGCUAAUUAUAAUAGGAUUUAGGAAAGUAAGGAAAAUGGCCAAAUUAAAAUUAGCAAUUCAAAACAUGAAUUACGAAGAUUAGUUAUUAAUUAUACUUAUUUGUGGUGUUCAAAUUUGAAAAUAAUGUUCAUUUGAUGUUUUCGGAAAAAAAUCGGUUGUCAUGUCAAAGUAAUCAUUGAAGUGUCCAGAUCUUUAAAUUAGACAACGAAAAAAAGAUUAGUUAGACUAUUACUAUUAUUAGUUAUAGAUGUUCUAUUAAUUUGAUCUUAGUUAAACACAAAAUUUCAAACAGAAGGGAACUACUAGAUCCUCCACUAGAUGAUAACUUUCUUUUUUUGAGAAUUUAGACAAAACAAGAUCUAACAUCAAAUAAAAACAAAAGGGUAUUACCAAAUUGAAUAGCCAAAGCCCAGUAACGAGAAAGCCAGCACCUUUUGAGAACUACUUCCUCCUGAAUUAUAUUAAAGACCAAAUAGCAUUACUAUUUAUUUUCCAUUUUAAACAAACAUAAUUUUAAGUUGAUACUUGAAUCUGAGAAUGUACCAACUCUUCUUGGGUUAAAAUCAUUUUGUCUGUUACAGAAGUGAGGGUUUCUACUUCAGAUUGAGCACAUUGGAGUUGCUUUUUGGCAUUUUCAUAUUCUUCUUUUGCAGACUACAUGCAAAGCAAAGUAACAUAUACAAAUCCAUAGAUGAGUCCAAUCCUUAUGCAGGAGCAUAGAAUAUAUGAUCAAUUGUUAAUUGUUGCAAUCACCUCCACUUCUUGUUGAAGAGAAACUAUCUCGUUAUCUCUAUCACUCUUGUUCUGUUCGUCAAACUGACGAGCCAAAGCAGCCUGCAGAAUAAAUACAAUUAGAGAACUCAAAAAAGUAUUUUUUAUUAUAGUGUCAUAUUGGGUGCAGCAGUGUCUAACAUUUCACUAUUCUGGAGUAUUGAGGUGAAUCAUAUUAUUAUAAUAAUAAUUGAUACACAAACACGAUCAUAAUGUUAGCCAUAUAGUUAGUACAUGUCAGGGAGGAUACACAGUGAAUCAAGAUUCAAUUCAUUAUUGUAUGCUUUGCGUACUAAUCUGCAGUCAGAUUUAUCUUAAGCAUAUCAUUGAUAGUUUUAAUCAUUAUCUUGAUAAAUUGUUUCCACUUUCCAUGCUUUCAAUAUAGAAUACCUCUCUUUCACGCAACAAUGCUUCCUUCCUGCAAAUUAUUUGCUUAAGAUGUCAUCAUUGACUCGCAAAAACCAUGUAUCUACGUAAUACAAAUCAAAGAAAUAAAGAAUUACCUACUCAGUAGCUUGUCUUCAACAGACACACCAGCUCCGAGUGAAGCAACCUGUGAGAUACUGAUUGCAUUAAAAGGGAAUACAAGCAAUGCACAGUGAUUAGAUUAACAUGCCUUACCAUUAACAAAAAAUAAUAAGAAGAUGCACAUAAGAUUAAAGUUUGUUUAACAAAUGAUAUGGCUAUAUUUAGCUAAAUAAUCUUAAUUGUAAUUCUAAUCAAUUCUUAAGAUAUUCAUAUUCUAAUUAAUUAAGUUACCUAACGAUGGGUAAUGUACUUUCUAAAUCUAGCAUAUUCACAAAAAUUUGGAGUUGGGCAACUCUUGUAAAUUUCAAAUUUUCAAUAGGUAUUCAUAUUAAUUAAUUGGUGCUAAAAUUUAAUAAAAUAUAUAAUGAGGAAUAUUUGCAAAUGGGAUUAAUCUAACAUCCACUGCCCUGUAAUGUACAUGGGUUGCAAUAUUGCAUUAAUUUUUCAAAAGAUACUUUUUUUAGUAUAUAAAAUGUUAAACAUGAACCAUGAAAAAUGAAAGGUAGUUGUAAGUUAAGGCCCAAGUGAGGAAAAGGUUAGUACAUCUAUGGAAUUGAGUGACCCUUAGGCCAAAGCAUACUUCUAAAUAGCACCGCUAUAGCGGCUUGGCAGGGCAUAGCGACCAUCUCUAUGCCUUAACCGGAUCUCGGGCGGAUAAAAUAAUUAAAAACUGAAUUAGGGCUCCCCAAUGGGAAUUUCUUCCCACGAACUCCUCUCCAGCCAGUCAGACCACCUCCGAGCGACCUCCGGCGAGCUCUAACCUAACUCCCUCCUCUUCUGCGAUUUCCGGUGAUUUGCUUCCAGUGAUCAGAAAUUGAUAUCCAUCUUCUUUUGCUAGUAAAAUCAUUUCCUUUAGUUUGUUUAAUCUUUUUAAAAUUUUCUUUUUUACAGGUAUUGAUUAUUAAAUACUUAUAUUUAUAAGUAGAAUAUGGCGAAAAAAAUAUAAAAAUAUAAAACGCUAUAGCUCUGAUGGCGAACGCUACGCCGUUAUCAUUUAGAAAUAUUGUCCAAAGAGGGAUCAACUAGGUAUGUUGAUCGAACACUAACUGAAUCAAGCUUACCUAAUUGCAGAUUGGGUGACCCAAAUGAAUCACAUGCAGGCCAGUUUAAACACCAGAUAGGAACCAUUAGGGGGUCUUGACCAGAUUGUCUGGUCAAACCCUAGCCAUGUCAUUCCUGGAAAGGGCUUGAUUGGGGAACCCAGAUCGAAUCAGCCAAUAUGGCCUAUGACUGGUUAAAGCCUCGAAUAACUUCCAGACCUUUAUAAAUGGAGGGUUACUGCUUCAAAUGAAAUGUUACUUCACUUGACUCCAGAAAUAGAAUGUGUGUUCUAAUACGCAAACCCCCAAACAGAAGACAGGAAUAAAGCAUGCACCAAAGACCUCGGAUCCCCUCAUCACAAAUCCUAAUAGUCAUUACUCAUUCGUGAUUUAAUUACGACAACCCAACUUGUUCCAGACUGUAUAUAUGGUGUUCUGGCUAGACUGAGGCCAAAUAUCAUUAUGUAGGCUCAAAAAAUGUUAGACCUCCUGUAAUUAACUAAGUCGCUAUAAAAUAUUACAUGGUUAUCCGUUAUUGUGUAGGAUCUUAACUUUUCAAUACCUAAAACAUUUUUUCUUCAAAAAUUUAAAGAAUACAGCUUUGUGAUAGACACCAAACAAAUCCUCAACCGUAACCUAUGCAUAAUGCAUGACGAAUUGGCCAUAUAUAUAACAAAAAUAACCUGUUUUUCAAGCUGAUGAGCCCUUGCCUCUGCUUUCUCAUAUCUUUCUUCUGUAAGGCGGAGCUAAGUAGAAAAUGCUAAAAAUCAACACCAACAGACCAACUACCAAAUGUCGCAAAAGGAAGUAUGGAACACUUAUCUAGGUAAAAAAAAGACCUUUUCGGUAAUCUUUUCAUUCUCUUCAUGUAGUAUCUCAAUCUGCAAAUUGAAUCGGAGUUGGUUCAAAUUAUAGAAUAUUUGAUUACAUUUUUUCAUUAAUUAAAGUUCUCAAUGGUAACAAGUAAACAACAACAUCUUACAAUCAUGUAGUGGAGGAUUAUGAAAGAACUGUAACUCACUAUUUGCCAGAAUAAAGUUUAUAUAUUGCAAGUAAAUUCCUCAAAAGAGAAGAUAGUCAAACAAAAAACAGAAAUGAUUCAUAUAAUCAAAAUUUGUACCUCAUCUUCAAAAGAGUCGCUUGCCAUUGAUGGUAUUAUAUUUAGUCGUGUUUCAGUUUUUAUAUUUGGGUUAUCAGGUUGAUGGAUUCGGAUACUGGGAGAAGGACGAUAUAUCAAAGUCUCUGAAGUGAGUAUCGGUUUUGAUGAAAUUACAAGUGGUGACUUAUUUUCUGUCUCUUUGUUGAUUGGCUGAUCCAAAAGCGAUGACAAUUUUUCACUGGAUGAAGAAUGGACAGAUGAGUUAUCCUCUGAGAGUUGCCGUUUUUUCUAAUUAAAAGAAGAAGAUGACAAAUCAGUGAGUUUCUGAGCUGAAAAAGAAGCAAAUCUCUAAUGUAGAUACAAUUAUACAAACAUGAAAUCUAAAUUAGCUGUUUAAAGACAAGAGAUGUAAACUCCACUCUAAACUUCAAAUGAUUAAAUAAAGAUAUAGAAGACAAAAAAGCAAACCUUAUAAUCAAAUUGCUUAGGUUUAUAAUUCGGUGUCACCUUACUUGCAACUGUAAAUACAAUCAAUUAAAUAUCAACUCCGAUUAAUCAAAUAAAUAAUAAAUCCCAUUAAGCAUAACAUUUGGCCACAGGAACCAUACCAGAUGAAGGGGUACCCGCAUCCCUAAUCCUAGUAGAAGGAUUAAUCUUCUGUGGCCUUUUAUAUAAAGGUAUGGUUAAAUGAAUGUCUCCAACCCCGUCCUCGUCGUCCUCAUAAUCGUCCGCUGCAGGGGACUUCAUGACAUCGGCUAGUCUCUUCGCAGCAUCGAUGGCUGCCUGCUUCUGCAUCAUAUUAACCGUCGUCAUCCCAUCCGGUGUCGUCCUCGUCCUAUGGCUUGGGCGAGCGGGCGAAGAAGGAUUGUUCGAUCCUGCAAUAGGCUGCCGCGUGCGCGUCCGGUGACUCAUCGGAAAGAAGAAGAAGAAGAAAGAGGCGUAGAACGACGAGGGUCGAUCGUAUUAUUCUGGUGAAACGGUUGACUUGAGAUGGUCGUGCUUCUGGAGUCCGGAGUCGUACUUGGGGUUGAACCGUUGAGGAAUUUAAAUGGAAAUCACAUAGUUCAUGGAUAGAAUUAUGAUUUAAUUUAAUCUAAUAAAUUAGGGUGCACUUUAAUUGAUUAUUAAAUGGUGAUUAUUAAUAUUUAAUUCAAUAGUUAAAAUAACAUAUUUCACAAGACACUAAUAGAUCUAAUAGACAUGAUUAACUUAACUUAAAUACAAAAUACUACUAUAAUAAAAAAAAUGGUUGAAAUAGUCAACGUGCCAGAAAAAGACGCGUUGAAAAAUAAAAACAAAGAUUCGGGCUUCUUUAUCUCGAUCUCCUAUCUUCUAAUUUAAACUUCAAUAAAAGAUUUAUUGAAAUAGAGGAUUGCACAAGCAAGAUCGAACCAUUACAUACCAUAGAAGACAAACAAAAAGAGUCGUCGACCUGAGUCGAGGUCGACGACCUCAAGUCAGUCCCUCCCCUAAUACAGGCUAGAGUUCGGCGACCUCACCAGGGCAAGAUCACUCAUGCCUGUUAGAUAGGAGACACCUCCUAAGGUAGUCACCGACUUCUAUUACAGAGAUCGUCAGCUAAGUCUAUAACUGUUUCCCUCUGGUUGCGUCUGUCAGCUAAGGUGAGACCUCCAAAAGUCUUAUAAAUAGAACCUAAGGUCCCUCGAAAAAAAGGUUCACAUUCUCUCCACACACGUGAAUAAAAUAACCAGUUGUCGAUCCUUCAAGGAUCUCUUCAACAGUCUCUGACUCCUCUACCAGUAGACCUCCUAGUCUACAAGUGAUAAUUGGUGAGUUACGACCUCAUCGAUUUGUCGUCGUCUGUGAGACCCUAUGAACCAGUCGCCGACUUAGUAGGUCACUGCUCCUCCACUUGCAAUGAUGAAGAUCGAUCAGAACUAGAUUGACAGUGAGAGUUACAAUUAAAGGAAUUAGAUUGCUAAUUACAUUACCUGAGUAUUAUAAAAUUUAUAAUAACAUUUUCAUGAGUCAUGUGUUAUUAUCGGGAUAGGUUUAUUCGACAGGUAAAUAACCCAAGAUCGGAGUAAAACAAAUAAAAGAAAACAUAAAGACAAAUGUGUAAAAAUUUAAAUAAAGAGUAACUGAACCAAUUCGGAUGGACCGUGCACUGGCUUAUGUCAACCGACAAUUACAACAAUACUGUAUUGAUUAAUUAGAUAUUAGAUUAGUUAAUCAGUUAAUUAAACAAGUGUAUUGUAUAGUUAGUUGAUAAUGAGUCAGUGUAUUAUAAAUAAAACAAUUUGUAAUUCAAAUUUAAUUAUUCAAAUUACAUUUUGUGCUAAUUACACAAUUAAUAUCUAAUUCUCUGCCAAGUCAUCCAACGGUUAUCUCGACAGUUAAAUCGAGAAACCUUUGUUUCUUUCCCCUUCUUCACGUGACGACUGCAUGAGCUUCUCCGGCGCUUCAUAGGUUACAAUAAGUUCUAAUCGGCGACUACACUGGCAAAUAACAUGGUGUCAGUUGGUGACGACAUUGAUAUCGAGUUCCCAUCAGCUUCCGCAAUAGCAAUGACAGAUUCAGACAGUCAAGAAAAAGAAUAUAUUGAAACAGAUGAUUCAGAUUCAAUUGUUGAGAAUAACACAAGAUCCUUCCGAGCCUCUAGGAACAAAAGAAAAAAAAUCAAUACCAAAGAAACAGAGAAGAGGUUAGUAGAUAUUCAAGAAAAUCUCCCUAUUUUUUUUACUGCGGGAGACCACCCUGUGGCUCAAAUGGUGGCAGGAAAACUCACUGGGGAGGAGAAUUACGGAUCAUGGGCAAAUCCGAUGAAGCUCUCACUUGUCUCAAAAAACAAGACAAGCUUCAUCAAUGGAAAAAUUAAGAAGCCCAUAGAUGAAACAUGGGAGGAAUAUGAGGAUUGAGAGAUGCUCAACGGAUUAGUGUUAUCCUAGAUAAUUAACAGUGUAAGCCUCCAGAUAGCCUCAACACUCAUCCACACAGAAACAACUUAUGGUGUUUGGGUUAAUCUUCAAGAAAGGUACAAAUAAAAGAAUGCACCAAAAACAAGUCAACUAAGGUAUGAAGUCAAUACCUUAAAACAAUCACAUGAAUCUGUCUCAAUAUUUUUUGAUAAGUUUAAAACAUUAUGAGAUCAAUUUGUUGUGAUAGAAAAACCCGAGUGUGAAUUUUGCAAUGUAUGUGCUCCAAUUUAUAAUAAAAAAUUGAAGAAAGAUAGAAUUCAUCAAUUCUUAUUAGGAUUGAAUGAUCAAUGAUGUAUUCAUGACUAAAGUCAAAUACUAGCAUACCCCGAUCUACCAUCAAUGAAUCAAGUGUUUUGCCUAGUCAUUCAAGAGGAAAAACACAAAAACAAUUUUAAGGAUAAAAUAGGUGGCCACUGCCAUAUUUUCUAAGAAAAUUGAAAAAGAAGAAAAGAAAGAAGAACCAAGAAAAAAGGGUGUGUAUAGUAAGAAUGGAAAAUAACUAGACACUAGAUACUAUUGUGAUAACUGUAAGUUUUUUGAACACACAAGAGAACAAUGUUAUUAUUUAGUAGGUUUUCCAAGUGAUAAGAAUUAAAAAAAUUCAAAAAGAAAGAUGAAUCAAAGAAAGUCAUCACAGAAAGUGCAAAUCAAGCAUCCACCACUUUCAAAACAAUGCAAAAUCUGACCAAUGAGGAGUUGCUAAUACUCAAGGAUUUUUUGAACAAAUCUGGUAUGAAUUACUCAUUUUAUUUAUCAAAUUAUAAAAAUGUAUGGAUAAUAGAUACUGGACCAUCUUAAUAUAUGACUGAGAAUCUUUAAUUAUUUGAUGAAACUCCUAAAGGGGAUCUUAAGCAUUUUGUCUCCACACCAAGUGGUGAAGUAUGCAAAGUAACCUCAACUGGAGAUAUCACAAUAUCCAAGGAUAUUGUGCUUUAAAAUGUCUUAUACAUCUCACAAUUCAAGGUUAAUUUAAUAUCAGUAAAUAGGUUAACCUUAGAUGCAAAAUUAAAUAUCAUUUUUAAUGAAAUUAAAUAUAAUUUUCAGGAAAACAAAUCAGAGAGAGUGAUUGGGAAGGGUAAAUGUCAAAAUGGGCUAUAUUUCCUAAAGACUCAUCCAAAUAAUUUUCUUGAUUUUGCCUACACUUCCAUGGAUUUUGAGACAUGACAUAAAAGAUUGGGGCAUAUCUCAACAGAAAAGAUGAAGCUCCUUAUUAGAAAUAGAAAUAUUAAAUAUAAUACUUCAAAUUCAGAUCAUGUUUGUAAUAAUGAUUGUAAUUCAGUGGAUAAUGAAAAAAUUUCUUCUAAAAAUAAAUAAUUUUUUCCAGAUAUAAAUAAAAAUCUUAUUUCGAUAAAAGAAAAAUGUAAUGUUUGUCCUUUGGCAAAACAGGUUAAGCUGAAAUAUACAAAAAGCAUGUUAAAAUCAAAACACUUAUUUGACCUAAUUCAUGUAGAUGUUUGAGAAAAAUUUCCAAUAACAACACAUGAUGGGUUUUCAUAUUUUUUAACACAUGAUGGAUUUUUUUAUUAAAAACCAAAGACGUAGUCCUAGACUGCAUUAAGAUUUUUAUAUUCAAAAUUUAAAAAAAAUCAACAAAAAUAUAAAAAUAGUAAGAAGUGACAAUGAAAGUGAAUUUAACUCAAAUCACUUAAAACAAUUAUUAGAAAAACAGGGAAUAAUAUAUCAGUAUUCUUGCCCAUACACACCAUAACAAAAUACCAUAGUAGAAAAAAAACAUAGGCAUCUACUAAAUGUUGUUAGGGCAUUACAUUUUCAAGGAUCAAAAUUCCUCUUAAAUAUUGAGGAGAAUGCAUUUUAGCAAUUACAUAUAUAAUUAAUAGAACACCUUCAAAGGUUUUAGAAAACAAAACUCCGUAUGAAAUACUAUAUAAACAAGCACCCAAUUAUGAGUUUCUUAAAACUUUUGGGUGCCUUUGCAAUGCAACCACAGAAAAACAAAGAACAUAAAUUCUCACCUAAGACUUUUAGAGGAAUAUUCAUGGGUUAUCCAACAAACACAAAAGGAUACCUAAUACUAAAUAUAGAAAAUAAAAAAAUUCUAUAUAACUAGAAAUGUGGUUUUUAGAGAAAAUAUUUUCUCAUUCAAGGAAAUGCUUGAAAGUGAAAAUAUUUGGAAAAUAAAUGAAAACUCACUACAAAACUUUUAUAAAUAAAUCAUUUAUCAUGAUGAAUAUAAAAAUAAAAGUAAAAAAAUUAAAAAAAAUCAAGAUUCAAAUAAACAGAAAAAUAUGAAACAGACCAGCAUAAGGUCUGAAAUUGAAUCUGAAUUAAAUAAAAAUUCAAAAAUACAUGGAAUAAUCAAAACAUAAAUACAUAGAAAAUCAUUGGACAUAACUAAAGACGAUCAGGCCAAUGACAAUAUCAAUUCAGACCAUAAUAUGAAUUGUUUUGAAGAAAGAAUUCCAGAAAUAGAAGAGUUAAAUCAAACAAAUGUAAAUACUAAUUUUCAACCAAAUGAAAUAUGUUAUGAGGAUAGAAGAACAUCAGAAAAAUGAAAAUAUAUCCAACAAACAAACCAAAGGAUGAACUCUUGACAGAAUAACCAAAGCAAUCAAGAGACUGGUCCAGGGGAUAUCUCAGAACAAGACCAAGAAAGGUCUGUCUCACAAAAUACACUGUUUUUUGAAGAAAAUUCAGUGAUAGCAGGUAAUAUAGAGAACCUGCAUAAAAAUAAACCAAAUCAAACCCAAAACACUGAAACUAACUAAAAAACACAGGAUUGUGAGAGUAAUUCAGUUUUGGCAGGCCAUAGACAGAAUGAAUCACAAAACUGCAGUAAUUCUGAAAACAAUUCAGUAAUUGCAGGGAAUAUAGAAAAUCUACAUCAAAAUAGAACAAAUCAACCACAGAAUACUAAAAAUAACUCAGAAACACAAGAAUGUGAGAGCAAUCAAACAUUAGUAGAUCACAGAUGAAAUAAAUCACAUAAUUCUGAAAAUAAUUCAGAAUUAAAAGGCUACAAAACAAGCCUAUAUGAAAGAAAAAUUAAUCAACCAAAAUACCUUCAAGAUUUUGUUUUGCAAAAUAAAAAAGAAUAUCAUAAAUCAAAAUUCCCAAUGAGCAAUUAUGUCUCAUAUCAAAAAAAAAAUCAUAAACAUUAUUUAAAACAAAUAACAGUCAAUGAUGAACCAAAUUCAUAUCAUGAAGCUUCAAAGGAUCGAAAAUGGAUUGAAGCAAUAAAAAUUGAAAUGAAAUGAAAGCAUUAAAAGAGAAUAAUACAUGGUCUCUAACAAAUCUUCCCAAAGAUAGAAUCUAUUGGUUCAAAAUGGAUUUACAAAAUCAAAUAUAAACCAAAUGGCCAAGUAGAAAUAUAUAAAGCAAGACUUGUUACCAAAGGGUUUACACAAAAAGAAGGUUUUGAUUUUUAUAAAACCUUUGCAUCAGUAGUUAAAAUAGUGACCAUGAAAGGUUGGAACUUAUAUCAAUUAGAUGUAAACAAUAUUGUUUUUUUGCAUGGUAAUAUAAAUGAAGAAGUAUAUUUGAAAUCUCCAUAAGGUCUACUGGAAGAGAAAGACCAAAGGGUAUGCAAACUAAAUAAGUCACUGUACGGUCUCAAACAAGCUUCAAGAAGCUGAUUUGAGAAACUAAGAGGAGUUCUCCUAAAUAUUGGGUUCUCACAAGCAAAAUCUGAUUAUUCACUCUUCAUAAGAGAGAAAAAUCAAAAUAUUUUAUAUCUCAUUGUAUAUGUGGAUGAUAUCAUCAUCACAGACAACAAUGAGUUAGAAAUUGGAAUAAUAAAAAUCCAAUUAGAAAACCAAUUCAAACUAAAAGACCUAGGAAUAUUGAGCUAUUUUCUAGGGAUUGAGGUGUCAUAUUCACCUCAAGACAUAUAUCUGUCUCAAAGAAAAUAUGCACUAUGAAUUCUAGAGGAAUCUGAUCUUUCUGGUGCAAAACCAUCUAAAAUCCCAAUGGAGAGACAUAUAUAUCUUAAAAAUGAUAAAUCCUCAUUAAUUGAGAAUCCAACAUUUUAUAAAAAGAUGGUUGAGAAGCUCAUCUAUCUUAACACAACAAGGCCAGAUUUGAGCUUUUCAAUAAACUGAUAAGGUAUGAACACAGUUCAUGCAUGCACCAAGAGAAAUCCAUCUUAAAGUCCUAUUUAAAUUGAUAAGGUAUAUCAAAAAUACCCCAGGACAAGGAUUACUAUAUAGUAAAAGUGGAAACAUGAUGAUAAGAGAAUAUUGUGAUGCAGAUUAGGCAGCAUGCCAAAUUAGCAGAAAAUCAUUGACAGGUUUUUGUGUUAUGCUAAGAGAUUCAUUAAUCUCUUGGAAAACCGAGAAACAAAACACAAUGGUCAUAUCAUCAAUCGAGAUCUUCAAUUUUUUUUCUCAAUCAAUUGUACAAGUAAACAGUUGAAUUACAAGUUGUUCGAUGAAUUGCACCGUAAGAAGUAAAUGAAAAUAAAAGCAAGAUUGUCGAAAACUUUGGUUCGUAAACGUUGUAUCCACAAAAACUUAAUUUCACAAGGGUAUUGUUAAGUUAGUAAUCUCCGUGUUUAUCAAAAAUAGAUUAGUCUUUAUUUAGGUGAAUCAGUAUAAAUUUCUUGAAUUAUCUUUUGUUUUUUCAUUUAUGUUUUUGAUAUUAUUAAUCAUAUAAAAUAAACAAUCAACGAAAAAUUUCCUCUUCCAUUCAACUGAUCAAAAGAUAAAGGUUUACUAUUUUCAGCAGAUCCUUUAUUCAGACAUUUGAUCAAUAGACUAAGGUUAACUUUCUUCAGCAAACAAUUUUCCAGUUAUCUAAUCAAUCAAUUAAAUUAAAUACAAUUAUUAUUUUUAUUCAUUAUUGUGUUAUUAAGCAUAUAAUUACACUACAGUUUCAGAUCACGAUCUAACAAUUGGUAUCAGAAUCAAGUACCGUUGAAGUCAGUUUAACAUCUUACCUCAACAACAAUGAACAUCGUGGUGGUCUUGCAUCGUCUUUCCGUUCAAAUCAAGCAACAUGUCUUCUAUGGGACCUUCUACGACAUUAAGGGGAACAAGUCUUCGAUUGCAAAUCAACUAGUCUUCGACCAAUCUACAUCCCAAGAUCAUGUGGACCAACAACAAGAAGUCCCAGAUGGCACUAAGGACGUCGACCACACUUCCCAGUCGACCAUGAACUAUUAAGGAGUCAUACUAUGACGAGCCGGCAGACAGACCAACAAAUCUGAGUUCAUCCAAAUCUCGACUGGGGAGAUCCACCCCAUGAGAGCGGCCAUCGACCAUAUGACUAUGCACCAAGCGCCACCCGUCACAAUGCAAGUCCUGGCGGAGGAGUAUAACAAAAUGAAGGAAACAGUGAGAAUGAAAUCCUAAACUCGAACUUACUCGUUAAAGAAUGAAAUCCAAGUUCGUGUCUUAUCGAUUUCAAAUCGAGCCCAAACUUAUACCGCGUAUAAAUUGGUUCCAAAUUUUGCAAUAUAUCCAAGUAGAUUCACUAAAGGGUAAAGAUCUCGUAUCCAAAGUUUAGGGACAUUAAACUCAAUGUAAACUUAAUAUGGAGCCCUUUGCAAAAAGAAAAACGAGUGCACGACUCACUUGUCUUCUCUUCUUUCCAAGGGAAAUUAGAUCCGAUACUUGUUCCUCGUCACCACCGCAGUCUCCCAAAUGGGUAGCGCCCAAUCCAUCAACAACUCCGACCAUUCCGAAGAAGAAGAAGAUCCAGAAUCCGAACGGGAAAAUCCAAUCGAAGAGGAGGAAGAAGACCGCUCCGACGAAGACGAACGGAUACCGUUAACAAAAUCGACGCUACCCAAAAUUCUCUUACAAGAACCUGAGAUCCUUACUUGCUAUGCCUCCGCUUCACCGAUCUCCCCCCAACUCUCGUCCGUUGGCACUCCAAGAGUCAAGGUAUGGGACCCAUGUAACGUCCUUGGCCCGCCAUUACCGACGACGACAACAUCGAGAAGUUUCGGAGAUGGGUUCGGAGAGGGAGGGGAUCGAGUAACGGAGGUUUUUUUGGUAGCGCACGGGGAGUGUGACGUUGGAAUGAGACCGGAUCUUGUUGGUGGGAGGUGGCCGUCGGCGGGAUUAACAACGAAUGGGGAACGACAAGCGAGGGCGCUUGCUGUGUUUUUGAACUCGCAGGAAGUUAGGUUUAGUUCCGUGUAUUGCUCCCCUCUGGAGAGGGCAAGGGUGACUGCCGGAUUUGUUUGCAGUGUAAGAAUUCUUGUUGAUCUGAUCUUCCAUUUUAGGUUUUCUUCUUCUUCUCGUAAUUUUGGAAAUCCGAAAGUUUUACGUUGAUUAAAUCCGGAAAUGCUGUGAUUUAUUUGGCAGGAAUUGGAAUUCGUCGAGGAACAGAUACAAUCCUCCAAUUCAUUGGCCGAGAUUAAUAACGGACAAUGGGAAGGUUGUCACCGCUCAGAGAUUUACACUCCGGAGAUGGUAAAUGUGAUAGACAGAACACAACCUGAUUUCUUUGCACCUUCUGGAGAAUCACUCAGACAGGUGGAAUUUCGCAUGAUCGAGUUCCUUAACCGUACUGUUAUAAAAAUGCCGGAGAAAUUGAGCACGGUGAGUAUGCUAAUGCAUCAGAAUGAUAGGAAGGUGUUUUCACGUCAGAGCUCCAUGGAUUCCAUUCAACAAGGUCAAAACAGUCCCAUUGUUCCUCACUGGGAUAUGCUUCACAGACACAACAAACCAGGACUGACGAAAAAGAAAUCCGGCAAGAGUAGACUUCAAUUUGUGACGACGGAGGAUGAUGAGUUCUCUCCUAGAGAAACCACUGAUCAGCUUAACGAAGUUAGAAAUCCAUCAUCAUCUUCCGUCGGAAUCUUCACACAUGCCACACCUAUUAAGUGUCUUCUCACAGGGAUAUUGGAAUGCAGUCCGACAAUGGCAAAUAAGAUUUGUAUAGACGAUUCUUCCGUGACAGUUCUUGAACAUUCUCUGAGAACUGGUUGGCGGAUUAAAAGGUUGAAUGAUACCGCUCACCUCCGGCUUCUUUGAUUAGCUUAAAAACAGUUACAUCUCCGACAUCCUCUAUGUCUCUAUAUCUCUUCCUAUUUAUUAUUGUCAUGUUUCCAUGAAAUAUUUAUAUUGAGAAAAAGACCAAGUUCAUGAAGAAACUCACUUCUCAAAUUCCGUUUAUCUCCAAAAAAUUCUCUUCUUCCGUGGCCGCCGAUGUGGUCACUUCCGAUUCUAACUUUAAUGCACACUUUGCCCGUGUGUUCACUGAGACCUCAGUUCACUCCUGGAACUCCAUAAUCAAAGACCUCGCUCGCAAUGACGACCCAGUUGGGGCCCUCGCGGCCUAUCGUUCGAUGCGAGUGCAUUCCCUACUUCCUCCAAACCGUUCUACCUUUCCCUGUGCAAUCAAGUCGUGUGCUUCGCUCUGUGCGUUGGAUACAGGAAAACAGCUUCAUCUACAUGCCUUCGUAUCUGGGCUCCAACCCGAUCUAUUCGUCGCAUCAUCCCUCAUCGACAUGUACUCUAAAUGCAACGAAAUAGGAGAUGCACGGAAGGUGUAUGAUGUAACUCCAGGUAAGAAUGCCGUUGUGUGGACAUCAAUGAUUGCGGGCUGCGUUCAGAAUGACGCAUCACGUGAAGGAAUUCUAUACUUCAAACGGUUGUUGGGUUUGAAAAGCGGCGUAGAUCUGGUGGACGCAGUUAUGGCGUCGGCGGCUCUCACUGCUUGUGCAAGAGUUGAGGAAAAGCACGUAACAAACAGUGUUCACGGGUUGUUCGUGAAGAUAGGGGUAGAAUCCGAUGUUAAUGUCCGGAACACUCUGAUGGACGCCUAUGCAAAAACCGGUAACUUUGGUUUCUCAAGAAUGGUGUUUGACGAAAUGAAAAAGAAAGACGUGGUGUCGUGGAACACAAUCAUGGCGGUGUACGGCCAGAACGGAUUUUCGAAGGAAGCUUUGGAUGUAUACCGGGAAAUGUCAUGCAUUGAUUCUCUCCGACGUGGUGUAGUCACAUUCUCAACGGUGAUGUUGGCUUGCGCUCACUCUGGCGCGCUCCAAUUUGGGAAGUGUGUUCAUAACCAUGCCAUUAGAUCAGGACUGGAAGUGAAUCUCCAUGUGGAUACAGCUGCAGUAGAUAUGUACUGCAAAUGUGGGAGAGUCGAUACGGCAAAGAAGGUCUUCCACCAUAUGAAAAACAAGAAUGUAAAGUCGUGGACGGCAAUGAUUGCUGGAUGCGGCAUGCAUGGACGUGGACGAGAAGCUCUUCAAGUCUUUCACGAAAUGAGAAGAUCCGGUCCAAGUCCAAAUUACGUAACAUUUGUGGCCGUUCUUGCAGCCUGCAGUCAUGCCGGAUUAGUGGAAGAAGGUCGGCACUGGUUCGAAGCCAUGCGAGAAGAAGAAGAAUUCAACAUCCCACCAGGUGUAGAACACUACGGUUGCAUGGUCGAUCUUCUCGGACGAUCAGGGCAUAUCUCCGAAGCCUACAAUCUAGUAAAACAGAUGACAACGAGCCCCGAUUCUGUGAUCUGGUCCGCACUUCUCAGCGCCUGUCGUGUUCAUAAGAACGUCGAGCUCGGGGAAGUUUUCGCGAAGAAGCUAUUCGAGUUAGAACCGAGGAACGUUGGUGUUUACGUAACAUUGUCGAACAUCUACGCCGAAGCCGGAAAGUGGAGGAACUCAGAGAGAACAAGAGCCAUUAUCCGAACCAAGAAACUGGAAAAAACUCCCGGUUACAGCAUGGUAGAACUGAAGGGAAGGAUUCAGGUGUUUAUGAUAGAAGAUAGGAGACAUCCUCAGCACGAAGAAAUCUAUACCUAUCUGGAGUCAUUGACGAAAAAGAUGAUGAUGGCCGGAUACAUCCCAGAUACAUCAUCUGUUCCUCAUGACAUCGAUGAAGAAGAGAAGGAAAGAACGCUGCGUGUUCACAGUGAGAAACUGGCCGUCGUGUUUGCGAUCAUCAACAUGGCUCUAAGAACAUCAAUCCAAGUGAUCAAGAAUCUUAGAAUCUGUGGGGACUGUCAUACUUUCAUGAAAUUUAUUUCCAAGAUCGAGAACAGAGAGAUUGUCAUCAGGGAUUCCCAUCGGUUUCAUCAUUUCAUCGACGGCUUCUGCUCAUGUGGAGAUUACUGGUGAUGUUGACUUUGUGGCUUGGCUGUUUAAGCUACUGCUGAAAAUCGAGAUUCCUGGACAAUUUUUUUAUUUUCUUCCCCAAACUUUUUGAAAUUUAAUAUUUUUUUUAUUGUACGGAAAUACCCUUAGAUCAUCCAUAUAAUUUAAGUAGAAGUCAACGCCACAUUCAUUCCUUGAUUUCUUACUCUUGGACCUUCUAUCAUCCAUGAUCCAUUCAUCAAUUGGUCAUAAAUAAUCGUCGGACUUUGGCGGUAAAAGUAUAACAGAAUAAAAGAGAGCAGAUCAUAAACCCUAAAAGUCUCUCCGAUGAUGUCAUUUGGUUCACUUCGUCGUCGUUCUCCAGAACUGUAGUGUUGAAAGAUUCCUAUUCUCAAGGAAGAUUACGCCGAUAACUCCAUUGCCUUGUUGCACACAUCCUUUCUAUCUGAGAUGGAUGUUCUUCGCCUGAGUCGGGAUCUCAUCAAGCAGGUAUGCUAUGAUCUGUCUUAAUUUAAUGAAUUUAUUAGUGUAGCUGCUUUCUCCCUUUUAUCGGCGGAUCAAUUGGACCGUAUCUUAUAUUUUGCCAACGAUUUAUUUUGAUUCACUGUUAUGGAAAUAUUGAGACACUCUUUCAUAUUAGGGUUGUGAUCUUCAUUCUGUUAGAAUAUUUUGCAUAUUCUCAAAUCUAAAUCUAGAGCUACUUUUAUAUAACAACCAUCUCAUGUAUUUUUGUUGUUAUUUUUGAUCCCUUAAUUGUAUGUAAAUAUAAUCAAUAAAUCAAGGUAAUAAUCAAUUGAUCAUCACCGAAAACAUCUGGCUGUUUAUUAUAUUUAAACUCAUGGAUUCUUCAUUUUUAACAUCUGUUGGUACCAUGGACCGCGGACCGCGGCCCAUGGACCGAACCGGCCCGGGCGGCCCAGACGGACGGACGGGCCCGACGUACGAGCCCACGAAGCCCAAGGACAGCAAGUGAAGACUAUAAAUACCUCCCCUGGUCCAACUGGGGGAGGGGUUGAUAAUUCUGAGAGAGAGAAACACUUGUACUAGGUUGGACGGUGAGCUAGCUCCGGCGAACUCUCACACCAACAGUGGUGAACCUGACGUGAAACAAACACAUGACAGCCGGAGAGAGAAGGAUGACGAGGAGCGAAUACCAAGUAGGGGAGUGCUCAAAGCGACCCGAGCGGGCAGCGGAGGAGUACCAGCCGGCGCGACACCACUCCCGCGACCGGUAUUCGGAGGAGGUAAGGGCCAACGAGGAAUGGGACGGCGAGGAGGAUAGGCUGCGCAUGGAGCUCGAGGAGAUCAGGUACGGGUGGGAGUCACCCAAAAGGCGCCGGCGCAAAGAACCGGCAUCCCCACCCAAGGUCAGGAGAACGCGGUCCCGGUCGCGGUCCCGGGAGAGAAGGGAAAAGGAGCACGAGAGGCUCCGGUGAAGGGAGCGCGUGGAGGAGAAAGAGCGCGCGGAAAAAGAGAGCAAGCGGGAGAGGAUGCAGCUCGUGGAACUGAUAUCCACCCUACAGGAGAGCCAGCGUCAGCUACAAGAGCAGGUGCACCAGCUUACGGUGACCCCACACACCCUGGAGUCGGACGGGGGCGGAGGAGGGGAUCCCAUGUACGGGCCGCCCGCCCCCCCGGACGGGAGACCCGGGAGCGACGUCCCACCCGUGGAGGCCCCGCGAACCAUUGUGGCAACGACGCCGGGAGGGGGCAGUGGAGAGGCCCUAGCGCAGCACCUGCUGGACGAGGAGUACCCGCCAGGCUGGAGAGCCCCGAAGAUCCCUUAUUACAAGGGCGACACAGACCCAGAGGACCACCUGCACUCUUUCAAGACCAACAUGGAGGACAGGACGAACAGAAAGGACAUCUGGUGUCGAAUGUUCCGAAGGGCCCUGACGGGCGACGCAAUAGCCUGGUACAGGACGCUGCCGACAGGGUCCGUGUACACCUACGAAGGCUUAGUGGCGGUAUUCCGGGCGGCUUUCGCACACCGUCGAAGAAGGCCGAAAAUCAAGGCCGCCCUCAGUACCGUCAUACAGGGAGAAUCAGAGAGCACGCGCACUUACAUGGACCGGUUCGCGAGCGAGGUGCAGAAGAUUGAGGGGAUCUCAGAGGAGGUGGUGCUGUACGCCCUAACGAACAGCCUCCGGCCCACUUUCUUCGCGGGAGACUUAGUGAGGAAGCCGCCGAAAACCUUCGCCGAGGCCAUGGAGAGAUCCCACGGAGAGAGCAACGUGGAGGACUACCUGGGCGCGAAGAUCCAGGAGUACAGGCGGCAGCAGAGGGGGAAGAGCGCCCCCGCAGGCACGGGGGGAGGGCAGCAGCAGAACCAACCUCAGCCCCAACAACUGCAAGCCAAGCCCCCAGCGGCACCACAGGCGCCGGCGUACAGAACCGGCACCCCGGCAACAGCGAGGCGGAGGGAAGUGGGGCCCGCCCCGGCGGCGAACCAAAGACAGGUUUUCCUAACGUUGAGCGGAACAGGAACCCUACCCCUGCCGAGGCCAAUGAGAAAGGACACGGCGGCGUUCAGGGACACCCGCCGGUUUUGCGAAUACCACGAGGACAACGGCCACACGACGGCCGAAUGCCUAAACCUAGCAAAGGUCCUCAGCAAAAUGAAACCCGCAAACGGAGCCCCCCCAGCCCCGACGACAAGCCGCCCGACGGUAAUACCCACGGGACACCAGGCGCCGAAGCAGGAGCCGGCGGACGAAGCCAUAGGGGACAUCCUCACCAUCGCGGAAGGAGGAGCCUCAAGGGGCGACGACCCAUGGGAGGGAUGGCGGUACGCGUCCGACGUGGACCGGACAACAGGGGCCAAACGCCCGCGAAUAAACCUGGAAAUCUCGUUCACGGAGGACGACAUGAAGGACAUCACCACACCCCACGANNNNNNNNNNNNNNNNNNNNNNNNNNNNNNNNNNNNNNNNNNNNNNNNNNNNNNNNNNNNNNNNNNNNNNNNNNNNNNNNNNNNNNNNNNNNNNNNNNNNNNNNNNNNNNNNNNNNNNNNNNNCGGCCUAGCCCGCGCGGACCUACUUCCGUGCCGGGCCCCCAUCAGAGGAUUCGUCCAGUCAGAAGUCCCAGUAGCGGGAACGUUUUCCAUCCCGGUCACCCUAGGACGGCAUGCCCAAGCUAGGACGGUCGAGGUCAUGUUCACGGUCGUAAACUUCACAUCGGGAUACAACGCCAUCCUGGGAAGGACGGCGCUGCACGCUUUCCAGGCAGUAAUGUCAUCGCUCCAUCAGUGCCUCAAGUUCCCAACCGAGGCAGGGGUGUGCACGGUCCGGGGAUCCCAGAAGAAGGCGUGCGAGUGCUACUUCAAUUCGAUCGGUGAAGUAAUGACGUCAGACGAAGGCCUACCCCACUCGAUGCGGGAACACAUGGCAAGACCCGAACCGGCAUCCCACACGACCCAAGUGGCCCUUGGGCGGGAUGAAGUACGAAUAGGAAAGAACCUCCCACAGAGCAUCAGAGAGGGUUUAGAGCAACUCCUGAGGAAGAACGGGGACCUGUUCGCUAACGAGUUGGGGGAGUUGUGCGGCGUACCCAGGACGCUGGCGGAGCACAAACUGGCGGUAGCCCCGGGCGCCCACCCCGUCAGGCAAAAAUUACGCCCGCUAAGGGCGGAAAAAAGGGAGGCGUCCGAACUUGAGGUCAAGAAGCUCCUCCAAGCGGGAUUCAUUCGCCCAGUACGCUACCCCGCCUGGUUGUCCAACGUGGUGAUGGUAAGGAAAGCAGACUCGGGGUGGAGGAUGUGCGUCGACUUCAUCAACCUGAACAAAACGCACUUGGCCGAUCUAGAAGAAACCUUCGCCAACAUCCGAAGCGCAGGGCUCAAGCUAAAAGCGAAAAAGUGCGCGUUCGGAGUCAAGGAGGGGCAUUUCCUCGGUUUCCGAAUUACACCUGAAGGAAUCAAGCCAAGAGAAGAGAAGGUGGAGGCCGUGAUGGCCAUGAACCCCGCGCGGACGCUGAAGGAGGUCCAGAAGCCAAGGACGGCAGAUCGUUUGAAACCUUUCUUCCAGUUGUUAAGGAACCCGGGACCCAGGGUGGUAUGGUCAGACGAAUGCGAGACGGCGUUCAGAGAACUCAAGCUCCAGCUUUCUAGCCUGCCGACGCUCCGCCCACCAACAAGAGGAGAACCACUCACCAUGUACGUAGCAUGCUCGGGGGCGGCCGUCAGCGCAGUCCUGAUCUCAGAAACGGGAGGCACACAAAGACCAAUAUACUACCAUUCCCAGUCAUUGGUAGGAGCGGAGGAGAGAUACCCGGAAAUCGAAAAACUAGCCUUGGCGGUGGUCUCGGCAGUCCGAAGGCUAAAACCGUACUUUCACGCUCACACGGUCACGAUCCCAACGGCUUACCCACUACUGCAACUGUUGCAGAAGCCGGACGUCUCGGGAAGACUAACCAAGUGGGCCAUGGAACUCAGCGAAUUCCAUCUGGUAAUCGUUCCGNNNNNNNNNNNNNNNNNNNNNNNNNNNNNNNNNNNNNNNNNNNNNNNNNNNNNNNNNNNNNNNNNNNNNNNNNNNNNNNNNNNNNNNNNNNNNNNNNNNNNNNNNNNNNNNNNNNNNNNNNNNNNNNNNNNNNNNNNNNNNNNNNNNNNNNNNNNNNNNNNNNNNNNNNNNNNNNNNNNNNNNNNNNNNNNNNNNNNNNNNNNNNNNNNNNNNNNNNNNNNNNNNNNNNNNNNNNNNNNNNNNNNNNNNNNNNNNNNNNNNNNNNNNNNNNNNNNNNNNNNNNNNNNNNNNNNNNNNNNNNNNNNNNNNNNNNNNNNNNNNNNNNNNNNNNNNNNNNNNNNNNNNNNNNNNNNNNNNNNNNNNNNNNNNNNNNNNNNNNNNNNNNNNNNNNNNNNNNNNNNNNNNNNNNNNNNNNNNNNNNNNNNNNNNNNNNNNNNNNNNNNNNNNNNNNNNNNNNNNNNNNNNNNNNNNNNNNNNNNNNNNNNNNNNNNNNNNNNNNNNNNNNNNNNNNNNNNNNNNNNNNNNNNNNNNNNNNNNNNNNNNNNNNNNNNNNNNNNNNNNNNNNNNNNNNNNNNNNNNNNNNNNNNNNNNNNNNNNNNNNNNNNNNNNNNNNNNNNNNNNNNNNNNNNNNNNNNNNNNNNNNNNNNNNNNNNNNNNNNNNNNNNNNNNNNNNNNNNNNNCGACGGUCGGCGGCGGAAGAGGCCCCCCUGCGGCUAUGCGUCCCACGUGAGGAUGGUAAGGCCAUCGCACGAAGCCUACACGAAGGGGCGAACGGAGCACACCAAGGCGGCAGAGCGCUGGAGAAGCAAGUAGCCAGGCAAGGGUACUACUGGCCCGAGUCGAUAAAGUACUCAGAGGAGAUUGUCGGUCGAUGCGAUGUGUGUCAGAGGCAUUCGAACGUCCAAAGACGGCCGUCCACCAUGAUGAAGGCCGUAACGACACCAGUGCCAUUCGCAAGGUGGGGAAUCGACAUAGUAGGGCCGUUCCCACCUGCAUCAAGAGGAAGGAAGUUCCUGUUCGUAGCGGUCGAUUACUUCACAAAGUGGGCCGAAGCGGAGGCUACGAAUACGAUCAGCGAACAGAAUGUGCUGAACUUUGUCUUCAGAAACAUCAUCUGUCGGUUUGGGGUCCCGAUUUAGAUAAUAACGGACAACGGGACGCAGUUCACGGGAAAGAAGUUAAGAGAAUUCUGCGAGGACAGCGGGAUCAAGUUAAGCUUUGCACCGGUCUACCACCCGCAGGCAAACGGACAGGUAGAGGUGACGAACCGGACGAUAACAUCGAUCCUGAAAAGGAAGGUGGGUGAACACCCGGGAAACUGGGCGGACCUAGUCCCGGAAACCAUGUGGGCGUAUUGCACGACCAUCCGGACGCCCACGGGCCAGACCCCCUUCGCCCUCGCAUUCGGGAUGGAAGCCGUAGCACCAGCCGAACUGGUGUGGCCAACNNNNNNNNNNNNNNNNNNNNNNNNNNNNNNNNNNNNNNNNNNNNNNNNNNNNNNNNNNNNNNNNNNNNNNNNNNNNNNNNNNNNNNNNNNNNNNNNNNNNAAAGAGUCAGUCGCGAGAGGCAAAGGGAGGUUUAUAUAAGGGUUCAGGGGGGCGCGGAAGACGAAGCGUCGCGUACCCGGAUUGGUCAGGAUCGGAUGGGCCGGGAGGCCCCCGAGGGAGCCCAGGAGCCGGUCCAUCGGAGGCCAGGGUGAAAGCCAGGGACCGACGCGGGCGGCGAGGCGGGGGAGAAGCGCCCGACGUAGGCUCGGCGGUGUCCAACGGCCGAACGAUGUAGGAGGAGCGUGGUGGGGGUGUCCAGACGGGCCCACAGGCAGACCCCACCAACGAGACGACGUAACGAGCCGACGCCCGAGUCGGCGAAAGGGGGACCCGGCGCGACGGACGAGGGCAGAGCUCGAAAAGGAUGCGGGCAACGUCGACAGAAGACGCCGAGAAGCGCGAAUCUGCACGGACGUGCGAAGACAGUCAAACGAAAGAAAAAAAACGAAGGCAUUUUUCAUUAAAUUAAAGCAAGUGUUACAAACGGCCGGUGGCACGGCGGGAAAAAGUACACAACACAUAACAACAGCUAAUCCGGAUACAAAAAAGAAAUAGGAGACAAGAAGAACGAGACGCGCCCCAGACGUCGUCCCGUGAAGGCAGACCCACAACCCGGAUGAACGUGGUCGCGGUCGCGGACGUCCCCCGGACGGGCUUAAUGGGCCGGCUUCGAGGACCCCGACAGGAAGUGACGCAGGUCAUUGGCCGGGAGGGACGAGGACCCGCGGGAACGACGAGGGCCGCGCGGCCGACGACGCCUUGGCAGAGGAGCAAGGUCGGCGACAGCAGCAGGGGCGACGAUCGUACCUUGCGCGCGGAAAGCACGCGAGGUGCCAGCAGAGCCCGAGGUAUCAGGGUAGGUGACGGGAGGAAGUUCCGCGAGAAUGUCGGAGCGGCGAAUCUGGGAGAGGCGACGGUGGACGUCGAUCAACACGGCGUUGAGGCGCUGAGUCUCGGCCACGGCCACACUAUUGGGAACACCAGCAGGCGACAGCAGACACAGGGCCCAGGUGGCAUGCUGAAGCUGCACUUCGCGACCAUACUCCUCGAGGAUGUCUCGAACACUCAUAGCGGAAAGGAGAGGGGAUGCAAAAAAUAGGGGACUCAGGCAGCUUAUUUAUAGGAAAGUGAAGAAGGAUGGGCCCGAGAAGCGAGGAACAUUAAUGAAAGUGGGUGGGGGCGAAAGGGGGGCGGACGGCCCCGGGCCCCUGGGCCCGUCAAGGAAGGGGGGAGUACUGUUGGUACCAUCGGACCGCGGCCCAUGGACCGAACCGGCCCGGUCGGCCCAGACGGACGGACAUGCCCGACGCACGAGCCCACGAAGCCCAAGGACAGCAAGUGAAGGCUAUAAAUACCUCCCCUGGUCCAACUGGGGGAGGGGUUGAUAAUUCUGAGAGAGAGAGACACUUGUACUAGGUUGGACGGUGAGCUAGCUCCGGCGAACUCUCACACCAACAACAUCCAAGCUCACCUCUGAUAAAUCCAGCAUGGUAUCAGAUUAUGUGCCCGGUCCUGUAGCACCUGUUGUUGAAGCCAACCUCUUCUCAUCGGCUAUCCCCUCGUUUUAUUAGUAUUAUCAUUAUAAUGGUGUAAUAUGUAACUAGCUAGUUGUUACUCUUACUGAUGUAAUUAGCUAGCUAAGUAGUUUAAUUCCUAAUUCUAGAACAUUCUAAUGGAUAAGUCUUAACAGAAUCUGUUAUUACAAUUCUGUUAAGAUCUAAUCCCCCUAAGUUGUAUAUAAAGUGUUUAAUAACAGUUUAGGAGGGAUCGAUCAUUUGAUCUCCCCCAUUUCCCAUAUACUCUCUACUGUUUCAUUAAUAUGGUAUCAUGUGCCUCUAUUUGAUCCUGGGAAUUGAAAUCAAAGUCGAGUUUUCCCCCCCUUCAUUUCAAGAUCUCGACAGUAACUGAUUUCCGCUGCUCAGCCAUAUCGAGAAUUGAUGGAGAACUGGAGACCGGCGAUUCAGAAUUCCUAGAAGGUCCGGCGAACGUCGUAAUCAUCAAAGGACUGAAGACGGUAGCGUUAGACCGAAGCAAUUCGGAGCUAACAUGAAAGGUAACGAUUUAUAUCAAUACCUUACUGGAAAAUGGGCACUGGAUUCGCCUAGGGCGAGAUGGCAAGAUCGUUUAAUCUUGGGAUGGCUCGUAUCCUCACUAACGUGGUGGCUGAGAUUUUAUGGUGUGAAACUUCUCACGAGGCGUGGAAAGCUCUGUAAAUGGAGUUUGCAUCAUCCUCCCGAUCGCAGGUUCUGAGCAUAAGGCAGAAACUGCAAAAUCUUAAGAAGAGAGGUAAGAGUGUCUCUGAAUAUAUAUCUGAAAUUAAUGCACAUCUUGAAAGCCUUGCUAUAGCUGGAGAAAAAUUAGAAGAUUCAGAUGUGGUGAUAUUGGUGCUGGCUGGAUUAGAAGAUGACUAUGAAUCACUGAUCCAAAAUGUGUCAUCUCAGAGGAAUAAAGUGACCUAUCGUGAGCUGAAGGGAAUGUUGAUAGACAUAGAGAUCAGGAGAGCACGCACAAAUAUAGUGUCUCCCAUCAGUGCAAAUAUGGUUGAAUCUGAGAAGGGAGGAAAAGCUGCUGGAAAGAUUAAUCUUAAAUCUGUCCUAUGCCAAAUUUGUUCGGGAAAGGGACAUGGAGCAUUCAAUUGUUACAAUAGAAUUAAUCCGAUCAAGUAUCCACCUACACAUAACAGAACAUUAUCCCCAACUGGUCCAACAGGGAAGAUGUCCGCAACUCUACAAUUUACUAAAGGACGGUGAAUGAAAAAUUUACUAAAUACCUACAACUCUACAAGACAACAACUGUAAGAAAUGAAAACAGAGCAUUGAUCAUUUAAUCUUAUUUAAUUGGUUUAAAGUUUAAACUACUAUUUAAGCAUCAUACGUCAAUGUAGAAAUGCCAUUUGAGAAGAAAAUAGAGUGGUAAUUUCAUAUCACAUUGCGUACCAUUCCAGAUACAUAUAUAAGUCCAUACUGAGAUUUACGAACAGCUUCUGCAAACCUGCAAUGGUUCAUUGGUUGAAACCUUUCAAGCUGUCAAAGAAAGUGAUAUGUUCAAUGGCCUGCACAUUGGGGCUUCCACGGUACUGGCGGGUAGGUUGUAUCAAUAUCUUACUCAUCGGUAGCACUAUAAAAAUUUAAUGUGUCAUUGAAAAAGAGUUGCUGAAGAUUGUGUUGAAUACUCAAUCAUGUUUCUUUACAUGUGACCUUCGGAAAUCCAUGUAACUUGCAGCAUCUUCAAUGGCAUGGCCAUUUCUUUUGCAAUAAGUCUAAAUAUAAAUCUUAAGUUAAAAUAUUGUUCUUGAUCAUUUUGAACCUUUGUUGUUGUGAAGACCAAUUGAAAUCUGUCUGAACACAAAGGAUAAUUUUUAUUCAUGUUGGGUAGUGCCGUGGUGUCAUGAGUACUACCUGACUACAAAUAUGGAUAUACUAAUGUUGGAAUCUCUUCUUCUUUGUUCAAAAAUCUUGUAUUGUUUCACAUGAAUAUCUUGGUAAGCUUUGAUAAGUCUCAAAUUUAUUUCAGUGUUGUGAGCUAUGUGAAAUAUAUAGCAAAGCCAGCAAUUGUCUCUGAACCAUGCGUACAGUUGAUAAUACUGCAUUUUUAAUUGAGAGAUGAGCAGUCUAUUACCUUGGUGAAAUAUGUCUUUGAGUUUUUUCCAAACCUCAAAGAAUUGAAGAACCAUGAUUCCAACCGUAGUGAUUAAUAUUAACAUAAUGGAAGUCAGUGGUUCAAUUAAGUAUCCAAACUCUAAAGAAAAAUCAUUAUUAAUGGUCCAAUACCAUAUAUAAUAUUGAUAGGCAAAAUUUCCAUUUAUUUAGUGAAUAGAUAAAAGAAACGCAAAAAACAUAGCUAUACUUAGAAAUAAAACACUAUAAAAAGCCCAGAUACGAGAAGGAAGAUUCAAAGUGGGACAUUUGCACUUUGUAAAAUCAAAUACAAUAGAACUAGCUAACCGUAAAGUAUCUAUAUUUUCUCAAUACUCCAAAAAUAUAUAAUAUUAACUUUAGGAGUUUUCUGUUGAUAAAACCAAACAUGUUGGAAUGAUAAUUGUAAAUGGCUUCCCCUUUUGAUCAUAAGGAUAGAGUUUGAGUCUUAGGAUUUUCAUUGAGAUACAAAUAAAUUAUUAUGGUUGUUUAUGACUCAUAAGUAGUGGGGGAAGAGAGUGUUAGUCAGAGCACACUAUUCAUGCAUGAAUAUCGGAUUAAAACAUGCAAAUUAGAGAAGUUGAAAUGUAGGAAAGGAGGAGGAAGAACCAACAAGAUUUUCAAGUUUGUACACAUUCUUGAUUGAUUAUGAAGAGAUUUAUAAAAAAUGACAAUAAAAUUAGUUGUAAAAUUAAAUCUGAGCUGAUGAUAUGGUGAAAGUGCUUCUUCCAUAUUGUAGUAUCAUGACAUUAUCGAUUGUGGAAUCUGGCAUCCAGGCUACAAUGUCCCUCUCAAACCAUAUGUUGUUUCGAACAUGUUGCAAUGUCAGAUGUGGAUGAACAACUUGGCCUCUACAUGUAAUCUCUACCUGAUUGUCAAUUUAUCAUACAUAGAUAAUGAAAAAUUAAGAUAGUUGGAUUCUAUAAUCGAUCAACAUAAGAUAUUCAUAUUUCAUUUAUAAUGUUAAUAGAUUAUUUUAUCUACAUUGCAUAAUGCAUAUAAAUUACCAAUAAAAUUGUAUAGAUAGGACUGAAGGAAAGAUGAUGCAUUAUUUUUUGAAUACAGGAAAUCUUCUUUUUCACAUGCAGUGAGAAAUCUUCUUUUUUGAAUACAGGAAAUCUUCUCUUUCACAGUUCCAGCAAAGUCUAUAACCAGGAUGUUUGGAAGAAUACAUUCAGUUGAGGUAAAUUCUAAGAAGCAUGUCUUAACUACUAUAGUAGGCCAGGGCUAUACAAUUGAAUUAAUCUUAUAUUGAAUGGUCAUUUUUAUACCUCGACCUGAAUCCCUCCAGAUGAGAGGUGUGUUGACAAAUCACAUCUUCUUAGCAUAAGAUUAUAAAAGAAAGAUGUAAUAUCAAUGGAGACGUUGCACCAAGAAUGAAUGAUGCAUGGAUAACGUAGCUUUCAUUUUUGUUUUAGUGAAACUAGCUUUCACAACAACUAUGACGUAGGAAUCUAUCAAUUUAUAUAUAGAAAACGUACAUGUGCUUAAAUUGUGAUAUUCCGAUUCUCUGAAUAAUUAAAAGAAUGUUCCAAUAGUGUGUGUACAUGGAUUGUUUGGUGGAUAUAAAAUGCAUGUAUAUAAAAAAAAACUAUAAAAGCUAAUUAGUUGUAUAAAUGUACAAGUGUAUUUAUUUAAAUAGUAUGUAGAAUUAAUUUUAUUGUUUUCUACUUAAACAUUAAAAUGUACAUGAAAUAGUCACUAAGUCAGUCUCAUCAAUCACCAUUUAGGCACAAGAUUAGAUGUAUUAUGUAUAGAUGGGUCACAGAAUGUUCUUUUAAUUAUUUUCUUAUAUAAUUUAGAAACAGAUAGAUCGGUCUCUUAAUAUGUACUAUUGUUUUUCAAUUCCUGUUACUGUUCACGAUGUGCAACUGCCUAAUUCUUAUAUUUAAUUGAAUAAUGGGUUUGUUUAAAUAAAAUCAUAUAUAUUAAAAAAAAAUUAAUAGAUAUACCACUGAACUAUAUUAAAUCAUGCUCUAAUAACACAUUUAUAGAAUUAACUUAGUUAAUCAUGCAUUAUUGCAUUGUUUAAUUAUCUUUUAUCUUUCCCUCUAGACUAUGCAUAGUUGUUCGUAAAUUAAAACUGUAUAUAUAUGUGUUGAGUUCGUUUUCAUAAAAAAUGAGUAAGAUCGAUAUGUACCUCCCACCUAAUAGAAUUAUCCCAUUCAUUUCAGCUCUCUAGUUCCUUUCAUGCUUUAACAUCAUUUAAAUCGAUGAUUGUGCAUGUAUAUAUAAUUUAUAAGCAAUUCUAUUAUAUAUUAAUGUCUUAAAUCGCAUGUAUAAUUAUAAUUUGUAUAUAUGUUUACUUAAUUAUAUUUACCUCUGAUUCAGAUUCUAACCCAAGCUUGCUUGUCAAGUACUUCAUCACCAUGCAAACCUUCAUCUUCUCAUCUCUGAAUAUGUUAAAAGGUAGAGAGAGAUCGAGUUAAUUACAUUGGUUAAAAAUCUGGUACGGUUAAAAUAGUAAUCUUUUAGAGAAUUACUUGAUUCUGUAAUAACGUUUGGGUGUUAACUGCAGGAGAAACGGUCGUCUCACGUCCCUACAUUGAACAACAGAUCGAUGAGAAGACCUUUCUUUCGUUAAUGGCUUCCUUCGUAUGCAUUGCAUUGCGAUGUAUGUAGUAUUAAUUACUUACUGCUUUUGUGAUACUUCAAGCGUAAACCACAGCCCAUUCUGCGACCGAUGAGGUGGAAAAACUACUCUCACGCCUUCUGAGUGAUUUCUACUUCCGGUCGUCGCAUUAUGCAUUAUUGGUUUCUCUUUCUCUUUCGGAAUAGAUGACCCCCAUGUCAGAUUCGUCGACGGGCCAAUACCGGCGGCCGAUGACAUAAAACACAAAGAAUUCGGCUCCGUAAUUCGAGAUCCAGACGGUCUGACGUCGGAGAACAAAUUCAGGCCUAGCAAUCCUUCUCGGUGUUCGAUGGCGUGUUUCCAGUUUUCCACUGACGAUGUACUACAACUACUUCCAACACCUAAUCGAAGCCACCCUUCAUCUCUACCAGCAUUUCCACACGUUAACGACCCCGCGCCGUCGCAUGGAGGGAAAUCACUUGUUCCUCGUACAGACUCAUCGUUUCUAUUAAUAACCUCAACUGCGCCACUGAAAUCCAUAUCAGAACCUCCGGUUCUCGAUCGUGUCUUUCUCCGCCAUGGAUGAUUAAUUAAUUGGUGAGAGGGAUUAUCAUGGUAGGAACAAGCUUGCUAGAUCCACGACCUACCGUAAUGAAUGAUGGUAUGAUCAUCUCUACUCCCGCGCGAUGACCGACAGGGGUGAUCAAUUUACAAGAUGAUUAAAAUAAGAAGAGGGAAUGAUAUACGGUUUUCUCUAUCUGUAUUUAAGUUGGUGGAUUAUAUAUGCAUGUACGUACAUGAUAUCCAUCUAUCUAAAGGAGUUAAAUUAACUUAAUAUGACAUAUGUGAUUAUAAUUUUUCUCCAGAUUAAUUUUAGACAUCGUUAAAAUAGACUAUUAAAAGAAGAGAGAUUUAUAUAAAUACAGAACCUGACUUGGUAGGUGCGUCAACCUGGUUGCACCAUAACUGCUGAACCUUAUAAUUGCAUCGAUCUAAAUUGAUUAACUAAAUAUAUUCAUCAAUCUAUAUUUUACGUAUUGUUAACUUGUUGUUCAUUGGAUUGACAUAAAUGAAAACAAAUUAAACAUAUUAAUUGAUUAAAAAAUAAUUAGGAGAAAUGUCCAUGCAUGGAUAUAAAUUAAUUGGAUUUGUAUUUUUGUAGGAUAUUGGAUUGGAUUGUCAAAAUCAAAUCAAACCAUAUAUAAUAAUAAUGCAUGAUGAUGAUAAACACUUGACAUAAAUAAUUAGAGGGUUGGUUAAGUAAUUAAAUUAAAUUAAUUAAUUAGUUAGUUAGUUAAGUAAUAUGGAUCGUGAAUCAGUGAUCGUCAGAAAAUCACUACAAAUAUAUAAUACAAUACAUGUGCGAUUAAAUUCAAUACCUAAAAUAACUUAUUGUACAAGAUUUUAACAUAUUUAACAUUCGCACAAGUUACCAUGCAUUAAUUUAUGAGUGAAUUUUAGUGCAGUAAUUAAAAACUAAUUAAGUACGUAGUCCAUUAAUCCAAAUAGUGCAAACAACGUACUUAUAAAAAAAAUUAGAUCUAUUAAAUAAUUUCGACCAAACAAAAAGAGGAAAAAAUAAAAUAUUAUAGAUGGAUCAUCGAUCAAGAUCAUGCAUGGAUGUGGCAGAAAAUUAUGAUCAUGCAUGUAUGUAAUAAAAGUUGUGGGUAAGGCAAAUACUCCCAGAUAUUGUGUCGAGCAGAGACACCUCGCUAGACCAGAUGAUGAGCAGGGCUGAGAGAAGAAUUAAAGGGUCUAAAUGCUGGGCUUUCACGUGGGCAAUCAUCGCGGCAACAACCUGGGCAAUUUGGAUGGAAAGGAACAAAGGGAAAUAUGAGGAAAAAUACACAAUUACAGGGGGGAUCGCUAAAAGGAUCAUCUCGGAUACUACCGUUAGGACAAGAAUCUCUAAAUUUAAAAAGACGGGAUCCAGGGAAGAGGAGGAACUAUACAGACUAUGGACUCUAUGAUAGGUACGUACUGGUAUAUUAUUUGCAGGAAAACAUAACGGGAUGGGCAAAAUCAUUGAGGGAAGGAUUGAAAGCCAUCGAAAUAUUGGGUGAGCCACCAGAAUGAGGGCAAAGACAAAAAGGCAGGUACAAAAUUAUUCGACCCGGCCCAGAGCAAAGUGGGCCUUGGGAAAGGGGAUAAUCUAAGUGAAACUGGAGUGCCAGGAAAAAUGGAUUGGAGCAUCUUGUUAGAAGUGGAACCCCUGCUUAGGGUCCAGACGGAAGAUGGUCUAUCAUCAAUGAGUGAGGUAAGAGAGCUACCUAAAUGAGGUCGGGCCAUCAAAUUGAGUAAGAACAGAGUGCCACCAAAAAAGGGGUUAACAGGACUUAAAGGAUCGACUAAAAGGAAGAAUUUAUAUGGAUUAUUGAAGCCUCUGUUUGGGACUAUCCAAAAAUGACUCCGCAAACAUCAUUGAGUGAGAUACAAGAGCCACCAGAAAAGGGUUGGGCCACCAAUAUGAGUGAGGACAGAGGGCCACCGAAAAAGGGGUUUAACAGGUACAUGAAGCGUGAAGAAAAAGGAGAAGAACUGAGCGGGAAUGAAGUUCAAGGAUUGGACGGAUGUUGCUUGAGAUCGGCAGGAGGAGUGCUCCGAAUCACAAGUGCUAAAUCACGAGUGGUACAUGAAGAAUGAACGUGAAGAUAAAGGAGAAAAACUAAGCGGGAAUGAAGUUCAAGGAUUGGACGGAUGUUGCCCGAGAUGGGCAGAAGGAGUGUUCUGAAUCACAGGGGAUGAACCACGAGUAGUACUAAACAAUCUGAAAUAGCUGUUGGUUAAAAAAUGGAUUAUGUAUUAAAUAUGUAGCGGUAUAGGCUAAGAAUGUAGAGGUAAUCUCUAGAAUUGUUGUAUGUAUAUCACAGCAAGGUUUAGAGACUCGAAGACGAGUUGAUUGUAGCUCAGACUUCUUUUUGUUUAAAAUCAAUAAAUUGUCGAAAAAGGUUUUAAUCAAAAAAGUAAUAGAAGUUGUGGGCCUGUGGCGGUCUUCCGUCCACCCGACUGACCCGAUUGAGAUAAGAUCGAUUUCGUGAAUGGAGCUUUAGGGUCCGAUUUUAGGUCAUCGUUUUAAAUCCACUAAUAUCGGUCCAAUAAGAAGAUUGGUGUGACUUUUGAGCAAACCCAUUAACCAUUUCUUCAGCCAAUGCCGACAUUUGACCAAGUAAAGAGAUCUUGAGGUUUUGGUGGACACUUGGGCCCAUCAUCUAACUAAACAAAUAAGUUAGGAUUAGGUUUAUUUGUAAUUGGGCUUCUUAGCCCAUUAACCGAGUCAAUCAUAUCUUUAAAGUCUGAUUAGUAGCUAGCUAGUUAUGCUUCGGAAUUCAUUUGAACUGGGGCGCGCGCACACACAUGCACAUGCACUAUUACGAAAGCAUCUUGUUGUAGCUGGAAAUAUCAGAGGAGCAGAAUGGGUGAUAGACUGAUAGAGAGAGAUAUUGACGGACCAAUCCAGUGACCACAAAUGGCAGAAAAACAUACAAGGACGGCGGUGCAUCGGAAAACCCAGGUUACUCCAAUGUCAAUGUGAAAAUCACGGUGAACAAAUACUUGUUUCAGCUCGUUUCCCAAGCACCAUCUGCUGGACCUAGCUAGAUGAUCGAUGGGUGGAUGGAUGGACAGGAAAACAGUGAUUAAUGAAGAAGCAUUGAUUUCAUCAAGGAACGGAUACGUGUCGAUUUCGUCGUGACAAGUGGCGGCUGGAUUAGAACGGCGAGUAUUGGUGCAGUGAAUUGUGGGGAGAAGGGAAAAAAAGGUAACAAACCCCUAUUGAUGCCCAUUUGGCGGCCUCGAUGGCAUUAAUGGUAGACAAGGAAAGAGGUGCGGUAGCGGUGUGCAGACUUUUUUCAACACUUGGAAGCCGAUCCCCGCUAUCAUCCCUUCUCCUCCUUUCACCAUUCGAGCAAUCAACCCCCCUAUUCACCAACGGGAUGGUGUCCAGGACUACUUUUACCAUAAUAACACCAUUCAUCAAUCACCAGUUCACACUUCUCAACCACUCUCUCUUUUUUCUUCUUUUUUUUCCUCUCCAUCUUCUCGAUCUUGGUUUCUAGUUUCCAAUUUCCACCACUGCUGGCAUUGCCAUGGACGGAGAGGAUGGGUCAUCCUCUUUCCCUUUUCCACAAAUAGGUUUCCAUGGGGAGAUCAGGAGGCGGAAGAGGUCGGCCAGGCAGAGACGUGUCUUCCAGACUAACUCAGAAGAAUUCCCCAGAUCAGAAAGCAAACUGGUUUAUCCAUUCAGAUUCCUCCUGCAGAAGGAACUGAGGAACAGUGACGUCGGCUCUCUUGGUCGAAUGAUUCUUCCAAAGGUCGAUUUUAUUUCUAUUAUAAUCAAUCUGAUUAAUUAAUUAAUUAAUUACAAUCGACGUCUACCAGAAAGAGGCCGAAGCUCACCUACCUGCUCUUACUGCAAGAGAAGGAAUGAUGCUUUGCAUGGAUGACAUGGAGACUCUACAGCCGUGGACUUUCAAAUACAGGUUUUGGCCCAACAACCGGAGUAGGAUGUAUGUGCUUGAGAACACCGGUAAUAUAAAAAAAAAUGAUCGGAGAUUUGGAUUUCGUUGUUGCCGGAAUGAUUGAUUAAUUGGAAACUAAAUUACAAAUUUGGUAGCUUAAUUACAGGGGAUUUUGUCAAGGCGCAUAGGUUGCAGCUUGGAGAUUUCAUCAUGCUCUACAAAGACGAUUGCCGAGACAGAUAUGUACGUACGUGAUACUGUGCAUGUAAUCGUGUAAUUAGUAUUUAAAAUCAUAAUUAAUCAAACCAAACAAAAUUCUAACAUGAUCGAUUCGUUUUACGAUUAGAUCAUCCAUGGUCGUAAGAUUGGCGCUCCGGUAGCAGCAGCAGCAGCAGAUGAAGAAGAGGCUACGGAAGAAGAAGAAGCUACUCGUCCGCUAGAAGCGGCGGAGACGGAAGAAACUGCGUCGUUUUGCCGGGAUAUGUAUCAUCCUUGGGCUGGUUAUGACGAUAACAUGCAGCACGACGCGGCUUACUCGUUAGAUUUCUCGUUUUUCUUCUCUAACGACAUAAUCGAUAAUCGAAGAGUGCUGAAAUCGUUUCCGAGUCUGGAUUCCAUUGAGAAUCUUUCCCUGGAUGACUUUUGAGUUUUGAUCCGGCCGGCAACCUGCCGACGGUGGCUCAUUCUACCUUAUCAACAUGUCGAGAAAAAAGUCGGUGUCACCGUGUCUUUUUUUGAUUAAAAUAAAAUCGCAUCUUUUUGGAUUUUAUUUAGUUUUAUCGAAUGGAUUUUUUUAUAAUACUAAAGAGGUAUAGGUACCGAUAUGAUAUUCUUCAAGAAUUAGGGUUUCGUUGACCCACUAACUACAUAAUCCCAAAUUGCUCGAUCUCCAUCGACACCAUUGGCGGCGCGCAAUUCAUCUCUCAAAUCACAAACCUUUUAUAUAAUGAUGCCGUCGAUGAAUUUCAUUAUUUCUUUUUAUGAUUUUCUCUUCGAUUCUUUCCUCUCCUUUUUCUUCCGAUCCUCAUUUGUUUUUCUUUUUCCGUCCACCAUGAGCAAAUGAUGAAACAUUUUGUCAUCGUCUGAGAUUCUCUCCGUGAAGUCUCUGCAAAAUCGAGCUUUUUAAAACUGAUGCUCUUCUGGUUUCUGUUCUUCUGUUUUUAAUUUUUUUCUCUUAGAUCUCUUGUCGUACAAUUUUUUGUCCUUUAAUUUCUAUUUCUGAAUCGAAAGCCCUAUUUUUUUUGUUCGGAGUAGCAAGCAAAUGAUGAAGCAAUUUGUAAUGAAACUGAGAUUCUCUCCGUGAGGUUUCUACAAAAUCGAGCUUUUUAAAACUGAUGCUUUUGUAAAGUUUUCUUCUUCCACAUUUGCUACUUCUGAUUUCUGUUCUUCGAAUGUACAUAGUUAUUUUGCCUUUUUCUUGCCAAAGAUCAUUAGAUCUUGUACGAUUUUUCAUCUUUACUGUUAUCUUAAUCUCUAUGUGUUUUUACAAUGGAUUUUCUCAAUCUGACUUAAUUUGAAUUGCAAAAUAUUUUGAUGAUCUAAAAUAUCAGAAAUGUACGGCGAACAGAUAAUAGCUAUCUAUCUGACAAAAUUCAUCAUUUUUGAUUGGUUCAUCGGAUUGCAAUUUCAAAAUCGAACAUUCGUCAUGGUAUUCCAGUUGAAUCGAUAAAAAAAUUGAAGAAUCUAUAUAUAAUUUUUUAUAAAGAGAUUUUUAUUUAUUAAUCUUCAAAUAAUUUUUUUCAUUCAUUCAAAAUUUAAAUCUUAAAAUAUAAAUAUCCUAAUCUUAAUUUAAACAAAAAUAAUUGAGUCUUAAAACUUAUCAUUUUUUUAGAGGCGAUUUAGAUUAAAUAUAAAAUAAAGAUAUUGCAAAAUUACAAUAAAAAACAAUUAAGUAAACAAUUAAAAUUACGAUAGUAUAUGUGAAAUAGAUAUAGCUUGUUAAUCUUCGACUUAUAUAUCAGUAACCAAUAGCGAAACUUCUUCCUAUCUUCUGAUAGUUGUAUUUUCCAAACUUAACAUGUGUGAUUUCCUAUCCCACUUGCCGAUUUCCACAACCGACUCAUUGAUUCACUCGCGGAUCAUAGAAUCGCAUUCAUCACAACCAAAUCAGGGGUUUCCUUGUGGGAUCAACCCUAAUCGCUCGUGAACGACGGCGGCGAAAUUAACUCGAUCGCUGGCUCCUGGGAGGACUCGCUUGUGGUGGAGCAGCAGUGUUCGCGAUUUGCUGAUGCCGAUUAUGCGGCUCACGCGUCUCUCGCAGUGGAGCAACGGAAGGAAGUCAGCUGAAGCUUUUUGUAAUAGAGGAGUCUGUCGCUCGCGGAAAGUGGACGUGAUAUGUCGUUCACGGUCAGGGACGUUCGGUCAUUUUCUCGCUCAUCGCCCAAAGGGAACUUCACUUCGCUCGCUCUGCGCUCGCUCGAUACAGUGAUACCUAAGGUAAGUUUACAUUUUCUUAUGGAAAUCGGUAAAUGAGAAUAAUCUCAGAAUAAUCUAGUUUGAUCUAUGUGAUUGAAAUGGAAAAUUAAUGAAUGACUAAAAUCGAAAUAUUGAUUUAGUUCUUAGUGAUUUCUCGUCUGAUAAUUUAGCUAUUUGGAACAUUGGAGGUGGAGGUGGUGAAGUGAUGGUAGAAUAGACAGAAAAAAAUAAAUUUGGUCCUCCCUCCCAGUCCGUCCCAUCCAGUGCCCUUGGCGUGGCCCGUGCCCACAUUAGUGGUUGUAUUCUCAUUGUUGAGCAAGCAGUUAACAGGUUCAAAGUCUCUAGAAAAGCUAAAUGACGCCAGCAACAAAACAAGAUUAAACUGCCACGCUGCACAAGCAAAUACAAAAACCGUCAAAACCUGGAGCGAAUAUUCUACUAUACACGCAAUUUGACCAAGACUCAUGAAAUGAAUAACGAAGAAGUUGAAGGUCCAAUAUGCAAUAGUUUCAAUAAAACGGAAAUGGGUCAAUUCUGAUGGAUUUAAAGAAGUAGGCCGGAAUAGUUUUAUUAAAUGAGUUGGAAUAGAAUCAGGUAAAUUUCAUCUCUUUUCCUUAAUAAAUAAGCUUGAAGUCUAUUUCUGAAUUAAACCCUUAUCGUCUUGUCUUCAAGCUGUUGAUCUUUCUUUUUCAAAUAGUUGUCAGUUAGUAUCAAGGCCCGUCCAGACGGACCAUAGACCGAACAGAUCAGAAGGCUCAUGAAGGUUUCCUAUACAUACUUUCCUUGUGAGAGUUGUGUGUGCAAGCCGGGCGGAGCCCUACCCCCUUCGGGCCAGGGGGGGUACUGUUGGUACCAAGAUCCGUCCAGACGGAUCAUGAGCCAAACAGACCACAAGGCCCAGAAGGUCCGAGGAAAUUGAGAUUUAUUAAAAGGAAUAUCAAAGAGUUGUGUGUGUAAACUCCCGAGCCCACACACUAUCAUUGUCUUUGCAGGUGUUAUUGCUUCUACUGUGCCACUUUGCUUUGCUGUUAGUUUUAUCGAGUUUGGUUUUAUCCAACUUAUCAUCUUUGAAUUCUAAAUAUCCUCAUUCAGUUGAGUUUUUAACCGAGUCUUUGGUGAAUUCAAUUUAGUUACCCGACAAGAUAGUUAAUGUUAGAAUUGCUGUAUCUCUAACAAAUCAAAUCCAUUAACUCAUCUUUACUUACACGUUUAUUGUUGGACGCCGACACAUGAAUGUGCUCAAACCAACAUGUUUUUAUGGUUGUCGAUGAUAUUCACCGACUCCUCUCGCAUCUUUAUUUUUGUCUUUAUUUAUUUCCGAAAUAGUAGUUGAAUCGUCAGAUUGUCGACUUAUUUUUAACAUCAAAUAAUUUAAAAUCGCUGAGAAAUCAUGUGUUCACCAUGUGGGUGUUGAAUUUGGGGGUCUUGAACACAUUGAAAUUCAAAAUCUUUUUUGAUUCCUCUUCUCCUUUUUUAUUCCUUUUAUGUUCAUAAUUUUACAUACCUGUCGGCAAGUGGAAUCUAUUUUGUGGGUAGGCUUUUAUUAUUUCUUAAAACAGUUAGAUUGACUUAACUAAUCAGGGUAAUUAUUAAAGUUGUUGAUGAUUUUAGAUUCUAUUCUAACUGUAUUUUUAUUUAAUUUUGCUUGAAUUGUGAAUUUAUUUUUAAUUUUUGACGUAUCAACUAAUAAAUAGUACAAAAUAAUGGAAUAAUUAGAAUCAUAUAUUUCUAUCUGAAAUUUAUUGGAAGAAAAUAUUUGAAAAUAUCGUCUUGAUCAUAUAACAAUCAAAUUACAAAAAAAUUACAACCCAGACAAGUUUUGAAAUCGAUGUUUGUGACCAAUCUGCUCUAGUCUGGGGUUCUUGAAUUAGGGAUUAUUAGUUUUCUUUCUUCUUCAUUUCGAGUUUUCAACCACGUAAACUCCCCGCAGGUGUAGUUGUUGAAGAAGAGGAGGAAAAAGACUUGCUCUGCUCCAUCUUGUUCUUGUUAGCAAGUUUCUGGUUCACAUAUUCAUCCACAUCUCCGACAGAAGAGUACGAGCUUGUUGGGUAUGGAGCCGCGGAAGUCAAUCUGAAGUGAAUCCACAAAACCGACAUGUUAAAUAAUCAUCGUACACGUACGCUAUUUUUAGGAUACUUUUUUUAUAUGGACAGAUAGAUAUACCUCUCCUUCCUUUUCUCAAAGAACCUCUGAAGUGACUUCUUCCGGUAAAGCGGCAUAUCUGAAAAUUACGGACAAAAUACAACAGAUUUAGAAUCGAUCCUCCUCCAAUUAAAAAAACUCUUUGUGGGUUUUUUUUUACCUCCAUUUGAAUCCGUAUUGAACCGUUCCAUCAGAAUUCCUCUCUGUUGGUGUUGGUGUUGGUGUUGGUGUUGUUGUUGGUGGUGGUGUUGUUGUUGGUGUUGUUGUUGGUGUUGUUGUUGGUGUUGUUGUUGGUUUGGGGGCUGGGGCUGUUCUAUCUCUUGUUUGUGUUUCAGCUGAAUCUUCCCCUCUUCAGCCAUCUUCAUCAAAUUCGCAACCUGGAAUGCAUGAUUAUUGGUUAAGCACGAGAUAACAAGUGUAUAGAGAUGUGUCAGCAUGUCAGGUAAUGUCUUUACCACUUCAGCGGUUGCUUCAAAGUAAGAGAUGGUGCCAUUGUAGAAGAUGGUAAGAGGAGCCGUUUUAACCGGAGAAGGAGAUACCGGAGCAGGUUGGGGCCCUGUUGGUUGCGAGAUUAUAGAUUUGAGAAAAUUAGGGUUCAAUCUAGAAGCUGCGUUCUGGAGAUCUGUCGAAAUCCAAUCCAAAUCCAAGGAAGUUAUCGUCAGCAAAAAAACAAAAACAAAAAACUACAUGGAAGAAUUAAAGAGAGGGAAAUAACCUAAACAGAAAAGAAAAGAAAUUAUCAUCUAACCUCUAAUGGAAGAUAGUUUUUUGGAAUCGGAAGGAAGUUGUUGUUCCUGCUGCCUCUGUGUUCUCUCCAGACCAAGGAAAUCGAACUCCACAGGCAUGGUCGAUUUGGAUUUGUUCGUCUGACAGAUGAGGCGACGAUGGUGGUGAUUUAAAGAUGAGAUUGGAGGAGGAGGAGGAAGAGAGAAGGAUAUCAUAUUUAUUAUAAAAUCAAACUCAAUAAGAGAACAUGAAUGGAAAAUACGGAAUAAAGCAACGUGCUUAAUUGAUAAAUAAAAAAGAAUAUAAUUUCAGAUCCGUGUACAAUUUUACCCCUGGUUUUAAUAAAAUCGAAACUAACGUAAAUGAUAGGAACAAAAUCUUUUCCGAAUCUUGUGCAGCUCUAGUGAUUGGUGUGAAUAAUAUUAAGGGGUAGUUUCGGUAUUGAUUUAUUAUGUGGGCUGGGUUUCGAAACCAGGUCUCCCUAUUAAAAAAAUAAUAUUAAAUAGUUGGCGUGGAUAAAGGAGUAAAGAGUCAUGGACGAGAAAAACGUGCAUCAAUAUUUAAAUUCUAAAUGAAAAUUUAAUUAAUAUCAGCCUAAUUUUCAUUGACUGGGUGGUCGAAUGGUAGUUAUCUUUGACUCCUCCUCUUUGGAUCUCUGUAUUCUGUUUUAUUCAGGCUUUUGGAAAUUUCUUCGUUCGUUCUCAAAAUCACGUAAUAUAUCGUCAGUUAAAUCCUACUAAAAUUUAAAUAAGAUAUGUAAAUAACAAGAUUCGAACUUUGGAUUCUCAGAAAACUUAAAAUUGGUCAGGACAUCAAGAAACAAACAAAAGUUCGACGAUUCCAAAUCUGGUGAGAUGUCACCUGAUUAAUAAUGAUAAUACUUAAGUUUGGAUUAGCGAUGUUGUUUAGAUCAUUUAGGUUACCUAAUUUGAAGUUUCCUUUAAAGUUCCUACCUAAUUAAAAAAAACAUAAACGUAGACUAUUAGUUUUCUUUUUAUAAUAAAAUCGUGAUAAAUAUACUCAAAAAAAUAGUACACCACGUAACAAUGAACUCUGCUGACCCUAAUCCUAUAUAUAGACGUAUUUGAAAGUUACAAAUAAUACAACUCGUGGUACAAAAAAGUCACUUGGUUUUGUUUACAAGUUGGUCUUUUGAUGUUAAUUUGACAUUGAUUAAUGCUCGAGUUUCAAAAUCUAAACACAAUGUAGAACACACUUUAGAAUUCAAAUUGAGAAUUCAAAAUUGGGAAUAUAAAAUGAUCCAAGUUUCGAUCUAGAAAAUAACAUUAAAAAAUUGAAUGGGUAACAUUUGUCAACGAAAUCAGGUGAUCUUUGGGACAAUCAAGAUUAAGAUAACUUCAUUUUCAAGCUUGUAAAUGAAUAAUUAAGAUCAGGUUCGUGUCCAACAUAUUUAAUUUAUCCACAAACAAAUCAUAAUUAACUUGAUAUUAUAAUCAUAUUAAUUUUUGUUUAGUGGCUAUUUAGUUCCAUCUUUACUCUUUAAUCAUUUAAGAUGGAUGUGUUAUAGAUUAUAAUAAUAUUAAUAACCAUUUGAGAUGAGUUUGUUAAAAAAUAAAAUCAUUGUCACUUUCUCAUUACAUCACAUUUCUCUAUUUUCUACUCACUAAUUGAGUUGAUUAUAACUAAACCCCAAUGGGCCUCAUGGGCUGUGAAUUGAGUUUAUUACCAUGGGCCUCAUAGUUAUAAGUGGUUGAUUAAUUAUUAUACUGUUAGGACUUAAUUAACAUUGUAUGAUUUAUUUUAUAUCUGCAUGCAAUUAACCCAAAACUCAAUAAAAUGUUAUUAAAGAAGUUUGGGGAGCAGACUGCAAGACUUUCAAUAAAAGUCAUGGGACCAAUUCAUACUGGACCAAAUCCACGAAGCUCAAAAAAAUACAAUGUUUGGUAAGUUAAACUAAUUCUGACCGUUCAUUUUCUAGUUUUAUUUCGAUAAUAAUCCUGAUUUAUUAAUAAUGUAAAUCUCUAAAUCACCAGUAAUUAAAUUCAACCAAGUUUGCAUUUUGUUUACCGACUAUUGACAGCAGAUGCAAUGAUGCAAACAGAAAUGACGGUUGUUUCAGUUGCUGGGCAUCAGCGGCAGCAGCAGAAGAAGAAAAUGACGCCCAAACUGUAAGUCAUAGAAGGAAUAACUAAAAUUAAGAAUGUUAAUUAAAGAGCAAACGAGCUCCAUUGAAUGUAUGUAUGUAUGUAUGUACGUACCAUCCGGUGCAAAAACCAAGGCAUGUGUCGUGAGGGCGGUCCGGCGGUGGAGGUGGCGAAGGAGCAUGGUGCUGUCCUUGUUUAAAAUAUCCCUGGUAACCUUCAGUGGGGCGGACAUCGAGAUGUGAAGAUGGUGGUUGGUGGUGAAUUAAAACUAGUGCAAAACAGUGACGAUAAGAGUUGAUACAAAAAAAAAUUAGAAAGGAAGAAGGUUUCUUAAUUAGUUCUUACCAUGGUGUUCGUUACUCAUCUCUCCGACGUCCCGUCGAAUUGCAGAGUCGAUGUUAAAAAAAAUUAGAUUCACGAUCGAAUCCGAUUAAAGAUUUCAACAAGUAGUAGGUAGAGAUUUUUUCCCCCCUCUUUUUGUCAAUAAAGCUGGUAGGUAGCACAACGUGGCAACACGAUUAAUGAAAAAUGAAAAUAAUAUUUGAUUUUCAAACUCACAGAAUUAAAAACACAUAAGCUUUUGAUUGAAGAAAUGUAGGAUCGACAACAGUAGUAGUUUUAAAUAUAAAACAACACGAUAUAUAAUUCAAUCCAAAACUACUUCAUGAACAAGACAUCAAACGACCAAUCUAAGUACAUAUGAUGUCGGGACUUCUCUUUCACAACAAGGUGUUAAUUGACAGAAUAGCAACAGCAGAAUAAACCCAAGCAGCACAGUUAGGGUUUUGUGUAAAAAAAUGAUAUUGUUCUUCGAUUCUGUUUUUUUUUUUUAAUUAGGGUUUUGUUUAUAAUAAUACCAAAUCAAAGAUUCAUCAGAUAAUAAUCAUAAUACAGCAUAUUUAUAAUCAAAGAACACAGGGUUUCGAUUAUUACAGCAUAUUUAUAAAUAUGGCCGAAUAAAGUGCCGUGUCCAAAAAACAACAACACCCAAAUCCACAUAAAUUAAUUCCAAACACUACUGACAUAAUAAUAGAUUAUUUGAUUAGAUUCUGACUCUCCUUCCUCCGAUCGAUCGCCAUCCUUUAGAACUGGCCGGAACAACCACUAGCUAGCAUGCAGUGCAUGUUCGGUCUUAUUUAAUAAUCUGAAAAUUAAUAAAAGUUGGGGUCAAAAUUAACUAGGACUGUCGUGAUCACUAUAUAUAUUUACCGGUAUAUUAGAUAUAGAUGGAUGGACGUUCAGAAAGGAGAGCUGGGGCAGCAGUUGCAUCAUCAACGACGGUGGUGAUGUGGGUUGUGAUGGUGGUGGUGUGGUGGUGGUGAAUGAUGCACAACUGGGGGAGGUGGAGGGUGGACUACAACCACUGGAGGAGAGUGAUGCGGUGGAGGCGGGGGAGGAGCUUCCUUCACAACCACCACCACAGGAGGUGGGGAUGGUGUAUGGUGAUGAUGCUUCCCUGCAAACAAAAGAUAUAUCAAUUACCCAAUUCAGUCAGUCAUAAAAUAUUAUUGAAAACUGCUGAAGCUUUAUAAUUCAGUCAAGAAAGUGAAAAAAGAUCUGUGAUGAACUUACCUGG
rnacentral:lncRNA from 1 species